rnacentral:lncRNA from 1 species
ACUGAACGCAGAAAGCCUUCCACUGGCAAGCGAUCGUGUUUUUCACAGGAUUUCUCGUUACUCAUGUCAGCAUUCUCACUUCUGAUAUCUCCAGGUGUUGUCACCAAAAACCUUCCCCGAUUGACAGAACAUCCCGCUACUGACAUUUGAAAAAACAACUUUCAAGGUCUCGUCGCUUCGGUGAAUCACUUGAGCCCUGAUACAUUUUCGGUGCCAUGGAGCUAGACCAGUGAGUGUUUAUAAUAUUGAUUACUUGAUAAAGACUACUCGAAUGAAAUAGCUUGCCUUGCGUAACAGCUACAAUUGUUUCAGCAGGAGCAGUGGUAUUGAAAACGUCCUUAGUUCCUCGAUCCAUUCCGUGGCUAGAAAUCCUUCAUUGGCGAAACAAUUAUUUGGUUAUGCCAUUUUGGGCUUUGCUCUAACCUGAAAUAAUGGCCCUUACUUAUGCAUCUAUUUGCCAUCUAACUACAGUAAAUGAAGACCCAUCUCUUUCAUGCCCACAACAGCGAAUGGAACCACCAACCCGUGAAGCAAGUUCGAGAAGUGGAUUGCAUCUGAUGACUCUGCUGGAAAGCUCAGUGGGGUAAACAAAACCCAUUCUCUUCAAGUCCAAGUAGGCGGUUUGAUGCAUGAUUGAGAUGCAUAUCACAAUUGCCCGCGUUCGCUCACUGUUUUAUAGUGAAUAAUGCGGGACUUUAGUCUUGUUUUACACCUGACUUCUUUGGCCUUUGAAAUUCUAGGCGUCUUUCGCCACAACUGAAUGGGAUACGUUGAAAAAACAAAAAAGUCACCACUAAGCAUAGCUGUCAAAUGAAAAAUAAGGGCUUUCAAGAUUGCUAUUCUUUCAGGAUUUCCCACGUUCCUUUUAUGCCCAAUAUAAAAGGAACGUAGGAAAGAAUCUACGAGGAAUCCAGGAGCGAAGGAAAGAAGUAACGUGAAUCGAAGAAAAACUAAAAGGUGAAAGGUGAAAUCUCGUUCGUAGAUUCAGUAUGGCACUAAACUCAACUGGCUCCCCAUCAACAACGAAGAUAAAAUCAGACUAUGCCAAUAGCAGCGUCGGGCAGCUAAGUUGGUAUGGAAGAACUGUUGCGCCGCGGGAAAUCCUUCGUCCACUCCGUCUUCUGUCUGGAUCACAGUGAAUCUAUCUUAUUGGACUUUGGUUCGGUGAAAACAUCCCUCUAAGCUUGGUACAGUUGUGGCUUCUUUUUUUGCUUUAAAGUCUCCCUUAUUUUGGAUUUGGACUUCCUCUUUGGUGUAUAAAUCCUUGAGGCGGUGGAUUUAGAGCUUUUAUCAACUUUGAUUCAUAAUCCAUCAACUUACCCAAUAAUUGAUACUUCGCAUUCUUUCAAGUUAGUGAAAGUUAAGGCCCGUGAAAUAUAAAUAAACUUGAAAAUAAGACUAAAAACGAUAUUAAAACACAUACGAGUAAACAAAGUGCUAUUCAGAAGAUAUUAAGGAAUAAGACGUUUGUGCUCUUAUCAUUAUGAUUCUCACCCCCCCCUCCCCCCCCCCCCCCCCCCCAACAAAAUGAAAAGCGGUUUCAUUAAAAUAAAAAAAGAAAACCAAAUUCCAUGGUUUAUCGUAAUAUAAUCUAAGUUCAAAUAUUUACCCCUAAAAUCACUCCUCCGGUCUUCCCCCUUCAUAUCUCGUUUUAGUUUCUACUAUUCUCGUUGAAGUAUGACCGUUUCCUUUUUUGCCCUAGAAUCGUUUUUCCGGUGAACCAAACACAACAUUAUCAAAAAAUCCAAAACGUUCGUUAAAGCUAAAAAUGUUGAUCCACAUUUUGAUACAGCUAGAGAUUUCAGAAUGAUUUCACUUUUGCGAAGACAAUCUCCACUCAUCAAAAAAUAAAAUAAAAAAUCAGCCUUCAUCUCCUAUCAAAAUCAAGGACACGAACCCAUGUACAUACCAAUCCCAUUUUGUAUUAUUGUAAUUUUUGUCAAUAUAAAAGAUAAGAAGAUUGGCCAAACAAAAAUAAGAAUGUAACUAUUUUCGCGUCUAUUAAAAUCUAAAACUUGGUUCCAUAGGUUGUCAUAUUCUGCAUAUUCUCUUGUAUAAAACAAAACCCUAAAGAAAUAGGAUCAUGAAAAAAACUCACUAGCUCCAUAAAAAAAAAAACUGACGAAGAACAAAAGAAUAAAUUAUAUUACAUUAAAUUAGAUAAAUGUCAGGGUUACAUCAUGUAGAUCCUUCACAUAGUAAACAACAGAUGCACCAGGGUAGUUCCUAAAAGAAAAGAAAAUGACAUUCUUCUGGUAGAUGCCCCCUGAACUCAUCAAUUUGCAAGAACAAAAAACUGAAUAGUAGGACUGUCUUAACAGCUCUAUCGGGAUCUAUAAUUUCUUGGGUAAUCUUCAAUCUAUGGACUUCAUUCUAUACAUUAUAUUUGAUUUUGACGCAAAGAGUCAAACCAUCUAUACCCCGAAAAAAUGCACAGAACUUCAUCUCUUUAAAAAUUUGCAUCUUAGACAGGAAGAGAUCAAACCUCAAAUGUGGGAACUUCGGUUGCAGAACCAUGGAUGGCUUGGUAAAUUAGUCUGGACAAGAAAGUCCUGUAUGGAUCUUUCUCUCUCUUCUCCUUCAAAUAGGCAAUGUUUCUUUCAACUUCAGACUUGACAUGUAUAUACAGUUCAUGGGCUCUCUCUCUGUCUUGUAAUUCCUCUGUCCGUGCUUUACAGAAAAAACAAAAACAAAUAUAAAUAAAAACCACACCAAGUGAACUGCAUUUUUCUAGUUUGCGUGUCAGUACUUAAUUGAUUAGCAUUUCAUAUCUAAGAAAAAAACAAUGCAUAAUUAUAGCGAAUUCAAUAAUACAUUUGUAUAAGCCAGAAGAAGAAUUUAAUGUUGUCAACAAAAGUAGUUGGGAUUAGGACCUGUUAUUUGUUAUAAUGAGCAACAACCUCUUCCACCAAUGGAAAAUAUCUAUAUUCUAAAAAUUAAUUUUGUUAAUUUUUUUGAUGAAGGGAUACCACAAUGUGUUUGAGAUAAAGCGUGUCGAAGGAACACCAACAUGUUUUGGAAGCAUGCAUAACCUUGCCAAAGACUCAUGGCUUGCUGGAGGCACCAACAUGUUCAUGGCUUGCUGGAGGCACACAUAUGCUGAAGUCACUUAUUUCAAUAAUAGUUUAAAAGCAAGAGAGCAUGUUCUUUCAAUAAUAAUAAAUAUUCCUCUUGGUUGACAUGCUAUGACACUAUGACUACAAGUCUCCAAGGACAAAACCAUAGACAAACUACAAAUUGUUUGGUCACAUUAAGUUGUUGCAAUAAGUACCGAGAGAUAAUAUUAUACAAGCCCACUGAGACUGCCACAUUACUAAUUACUAAACCUUUAUAUUUUAGUCCUCCAUGAAAGCCUAUAUAUAAAGGGACAAACCCUACAACUUUUGGGACUAAUCAGUUUGCUUUUAGAUCAGAGUUCUUACUUGAGCAUUGAAUAGGCUUUGGCCAAAACUAAAUUAGUGUGUUCAAUAUUGGUUUGACCGUGUUCGUUGGGGGCAACUGAUUGUUAGUGUCACAAUAAUAGCAUGAACAGAAAAAUCCUCCAAGUGACUGCUCAAGUAACUCACUAAAUGAAUUACUUUAAAUCCUGUGAUUGCACAGAUCAAGAUUUAUACAUGGUUACUGUAUGCACUGGUGGGGAUUGGAACUGUUUUUGUUCUAGUAGUCUGACUUAGUUAAACCAGAUAGGUGACGACAAAAGUUGUUAACAACUUUUUAACUUUCGAAAUUAGGUGAUGUAUGUGUUAGGUUUUCUGUUGGAAGUAAGGGUAUUGUAGGCUUUAGGUGUGUAGUUUAGUCCCACAUAGCUUAGAUAUAAAGUCUAUGUGGUUUCUCUCUUUAUACAUAGAGAGUUAGCUUCUUUGUAAGUUUAACCUAAUACAUCAAUAUUAUCAUUAAUCUUUUAUAUUUCUAGUUGGUAUCAGAGCUGAGUUAGGUCAUGGUUUUCGGCCACCGACGACACUAACUCAGGUGCCGGUGGCCGGAGCUCCGGCAAAGUCUUUUUGUCAAAUUUGUCUUUGUUUCCGCUGUCUUUUCUGCGCCUUGUGCUAAUGUUUUUUUUUUUCUUGAGUACUGUUCACGGCUACUGCUCACCAAGUACUGUUCAUCCGGAAUACUGUUCACAAAGCACUGUUCAUAAGGUGCUGUUCAUCGAGAUUUUUUUUUUUUUUUUUUUAAGAUCCAGGUUUGUUGUUUCUCUUGUUGGUAUGCGCCAUUCAUGUCCAACCCUUUCUAGGGUUUUGUGUGCGUUGUUGAUGUCAUGCGCGACUUGUCCAGCCCUUUCUAGGGCCUUGUAUGCGUUGUUGCCGUAGUGCACCGCUCUUGUUCAGCCUUUUCAAGGGCCUUGUUUGCGUUGUUGAUGUCAUGCGCCAUACUUGUCAUGCGCCGCCAUCCCUCUACAACUUUACCGUUCCCGUCAGCUCUUUCAACGGGUUACUUUGAAUUAGUCCCUUUUGUCGUGAAGUAGCCUAUUUUUGUCACUACAUUCAAGUUAUAUCAGAUGCUUUGUGGAAAGUAAACCCUAACCACCGAAACGAACAUGGCCCUAACAAUCACCACCACUACCUCCGACGUCUUUCUUGGUUGAGCAACUGGUUAUCCUUGCUCCUUUAUUGUCUCUGCAGCUGGACAUCCCUACAGACAGUUCUUCUCGCAGCUGGUCAUCCCUGCCAUUGAACAUCCUGCCUGGUGUCGUUCUCAUGAUACUUUGUCGGGGAUGUGAGAGAACUUUUUUGUAUUUCAAGCUGAAAUUCAGAAUCUGAAUGUUCAGCUUGAGGGGUAGUGUUGGAAGUAAGGGUAUUGUAGGCUUUAGGUGUGUAGUUCAGUCCCACAUAGCUUAGAUAUAAAGUCUAUGUGGUUUCUCUCUAUAUAUAGAGAGAGUUAGCUUUUUUGUAAGUUUAACCUAAUAUAUCAAUAUUAUCAUUCAUCUUUUAUAUUUUUAGUCAAGAUGAUGUGAACGAGGAUUUUGAGGGUAAGAGAUGUGUUCUUAGGUUGGAUGGAUCAAAAGACUUAUUACUUGUAGCUCCAUAGGUUUCAGUAAUGAUUAAAAUAGCUACUUUGUUUUAACAAUACCUUGCGUAUCAAUUGGCUUUCCGAAGAGAAAAUAGAAACGGCCAGGGAGUUUUGGCAGAACGCCCGGGAAAUAAAUGUCUUCCUUUGCAACCUCUCCAUUAAUUUCAUCCCUAUAUAUAAGAAGAUAAUAAUAAUCAGUACGUACUUUUGACUACCAAGAAACAAAAAUGAAAACCGCCUCUAGAAUCAUGAAGACAUACAACCAAUGCAAUAACCAGUCAUUCAAUUGUAUAUUUAUGAAUAAAACUUCACAUAAAAUAAUUGCAAAAAAAUAAAAAUAAAAUAAAAAAAUAAAAAUAAAAAAUCAUGAUUUAUGAUCUCUUGAUAUAUAAUGAAAAUGAUUUUAGUAUAUUUCCCCAUGAAAUAGUGGACUUUGUAAGGAAAAAGUUCCUGACAAUGUGUACAACCAUGAUUCUUACAGAAUUUAGGGUCUGUUUGAUUCGGGUGUGUUGGAAGUAAGGGUAUUGUAGGCUUUAGGUGUGUAGUUUAGUCCCACAUAGCUUUAGAUAUAAAGUCUUUGUGGUUUCUCUCUCUAUAUAUAGAGAGAGUUAGCUUCUUUGUAAGUUUAAAACCUAAUAUAUCAAUAUUAUCAUUCAUCUUUUAUAUUUCUAGUGGGUGGGAUUCUUUCCCGGUAAAUUUGUAAGAGGGGCAAAUUACUAAUUGCACAAUAUAGUAAGAAAAUAUUUUAAUACUCGGUGCCUCUCACUUUGUGUCUUCUCUUCUUCUCCCGUUCUCCGAUUUUUGUAAAUUCCAUCCCGUGUCCUCCAUUAUCACUGGUAAAUCAGUUUACCGCUCGAAUCAAACAAACCCUUAUAGAUUUUUCCUAAAUUUACAUAAAACAAUAACAUCUCUUCGCAACAGUAUAUUAUACUUUAAUGCUUGACUAAAUGCCAUUUACAAAUGGAUGUAAUUUAGUUGUCAUCGUCCUUGUCAUGGACACCAUAUUUAGAAUGCACAACCUUCCUAUCUUCAGCAAUAUUGGAGAUGUACUCAACAAAUGCCAAGGCGCAGAACUCAAUUAUCUGGUGGCAGACCUUAGAAACUGGUACCUGCAACAGUCUGGUGGAAAUAUGAAAGCUCAGGAAUGACACUAUCUUUAAAGAGAAAAAGGGACAUAGUGAAGAUCAAAGCAAUAUGCCCUACUGGUUACUUAGGGAUAGAUCAAGAAGAAACUACAGAUUGGACUCUCUGAUAAAGGGGUAGACUGACCUGUCCUCCACUUUAUUUCUUCUUUCUUACAUGUCUUUUCUUUUAAUUUUUUUUUUUUUUUAGAUUUAUCAAUGAAAUAAGAUUUUAUUGAUAAGCUCAACAAAUUACACAAACGUAGAGGACAAACGCGCUACAAACUGCGCGGCAAGUCCUUUUUUUAGAUUUUAAUUUUUUUUUUUUUUUUUGCUUGGUCAGGUUGUCUCUUACCAUGUUUCAUCAUUAACUUUGUAAUCUCUAUGCUCAAUCAAUAAAGGUUUUACUCAGCUGAACGAUACCUCGAUAUGUAUGCUACUAAGUGUUUGAUUAUUAAAAACAAGGCAUCAUCAAGAUUUGUGGAAUCUUCCAUGCAAUGACAAAAAUUAAUUGUUGAGUGAAACUCCAACACCAUUAUAGCUUAAAAUUCUGCAAAUCGAGAAAGUGAAGCUUUCAUUUAUCUUGGUGUCCCCUGAACUUUAAACUGCCAAGGAAUAUAAAUCGAACCAAAGGCAUAAGAAGGUGUCGAUGAAUCAAAUCCUAUGCCCACUCCAAAUCUGUCGCCAAGUCUAAUCAGUCAACUGUACAGCAUUCACCAAUGUACUUAAAGUGAUUGACAAGCCUACUCGUAGAAUUAGAAUACCCUCAGCUGUUGAUCUUUGAACACAAUUUGAUCUUCUUUUGCAACCAGAAUCCCAGUUCUGCAUCAUGUCUGAAUCUUUAUGAUAGGACUGUACGUAACAAAUUUCUAAGAAUAUUUCUUCUCUAACCUGAACAAAAUCAGCAACCCAUCCCCAAACAUUUCUUACUGAAUCAGAGAUAUGCAUAGGCAAAGAAGAUGAAAAUAUGACUCUCCAGUUAUUUUUGUAAGAUUUAUGUCCCAUAAUAAAACAAUCCUUAUUGGUCAAUUCAAUAUGAGAGGAAUGAUGUUAUUGGAAUAAUGGAAAAAGUCUUCUCGCUACAAAAUGAAUAGACACGAGCCAUGUGGUAUCUCUUGGAUAGAUUAGAGUUUCGUACGGACACAACUCUUUAGAAAAGCUACGUGACUUUUUGUUAUAGACUUUCUAAGAAAACACCUUUGGGACAAAUAUUUAAGGUUUUAUGGUGUCCAAGAUUCAUGGUUCAACAAAAAACCUUAAAUAGUUCUCAACAAGAUGUAAAGUCUAUUAUGAAAAGUCACAUACAUUUUCUAAAGAGUUGUGUCCAUUUGAAACUCUACUCUAUCUCCAAUAGACACCAAACGGGACGUGUCUAUUUAUUUUGUAGUGAGAGAGAACUUUUCCCAUUAUUCCAAUAAUGUCAUCUUCCCAUAAAGAAAUGGCCAAUAAAGACAUUUAUCAUGUGGGACAUAAAUCUUACAAAUUCAUGCAACUACUUGUCCAUUUGCAAGCCUCAUUAAGAAUUUCAUUACCUUCACGAACAAGGUCAGGUGUGUCACUACGAGCGAAAAUAUUACACGAUGUGACGAUGGUUUGAAUUUCUUCAACUUUUCCGUAUUUGUGUAAAUAGCCCAAUAUGGUUGGUACUUUGUACACUUAAUAAGUCGCAUCUUAACGUCUUUUCUUCUACUUGGUAAAAUCCCUAACUUUAUGUUCUUUUGAAUUGCGAAGAACGACAACAUGCAUCAAAAUUCAGUUGAUGAUAGAAAAUGGAAACAAUGAACUAGAAGAUAGCUUCUUGCCAAUUCAGAACCCCAUAGUUCCUUGAUUUUACCUUCUUCUCUCACUAGAAGCACUCUGCAUUUUGUACCCUUGGAUACCUCCAUUUGUAUCUCAUUCUCCUUCAAUCACUCGGAUCAUUAUUACAACCCUUGCAGGCUGAAAGCCCCUUCGCGUAGGACUAAAAAAAAGUUAUGUUGGUAUAUUGUAUAGGGGUAAGCAAUUACUGCUACAAUUCCACAGACACUUGCUGUUUUCACUUUUCACCUUUUGACAAGCCAUUAGUCCAAAAAGAACGACCUCAACACACAUGGAAUCUCCAUAUUCUAUGUAUUUUGCUUCCUAUCUCUGACAAACUAGUUCAUCUUGUGUACAUGCAACAGUAAACUAAUAGACCAGACAAAACAGAUGUUUUCUAAUUAGAGCACAAAUCGCCGCAUUCAGUCUUCUUCAAUUUCUUUCUUCUUUACAAGAUUCUAACACAACUGAACACACAUGAGCUCACCAAGGAUUUUGCUUUCACACUCAUCUUUAACAAGGUGUAUUAAUUGUCCCGUCAUAUUCAUAUUUUUUUUUAUCUUAUAGUAGUUUCUUUUAUCUAAUGAUUAGUAAGUUGUCCACUCUUUUGUUUUCAGAGGUGGACAUACAGAUUGAACAUACUUUUUUAUCUUUUGAUGUAAGAACAAUAUAAGUCGGCUACCAUUCUACAUUUAGGUUACUUUAAGACAAAAACUAAAAAAUGCAGAAACAAAUAAUUCUGGAAGACACGUGAAAGGAAAAUUUAAAAAUGAGAAGGAGCUAGAAGGUCUGCAUGUUAUGAAUUAGAGAAAAUACUACCUCAACCUCCUCACACGUCCAUCAUUUAUUUCUUCUAUAAGACUUUUCACGAAAGGAAUCUUCAAGAAAUCGUCAUAAUCAAUAAUUAGCUGAAAAAAAUAAAAAAAUAGCAUGCCAUCAGUACAUCAAUAAACAUUCAUUGAGAUAGACCAGUACAGAUGAAGUCAAAAAUAUUUUAGCUAAAAAUUUAAAGGCUUGCAGCAAGAAUAAAAAAAGUAAAAAGGAAAAGUAUCUCUUUUGUCUAAAUUUUCACUGGAAAUUUAUGUAUAGGUAGCAUGUAAGACAACAGAAGUGAAUAAACUGGAGGACUGAACCGGCUUAACUGAGCUGCAUACUGCUCCUGUUUUAGCUAAUGAUAUAGAUAAUAUUUUACGUACUAAGUUAAUCAGCUGAAACUGACAGUAUGGGGCAGUGUCCCUAUGCCAUUUGUUAAAUAGUAACAUUGUUGGAGCUCUUUUAUGUUUCUGUUAUAGAUGAACGAAUCAAUAUACCCUUAUGUACCCUCUGCCCUCUGCUUCUCAAACCAGUUUUCCAUGAUGCAGACUCAUGGGUAUAUUUGAAACAAAACUUGUAAUGAAUUAUCAGUACUCUGAAUCAACCAUUUUCAUUAUUUGGCUCCUAUCAAGAAAAUUAUGGUGUAUUGAUUGAAAAAUAAGAUGGAGAUACAAACAAGACUUUUGCAAAUAUAAUUACAGAUAGAAUAUUGAAAUCAACCAUAUUAUUCAUUUAUUCGGAGUAGCACCAAAUGUUUUUGAUAGGUACAUGCAUUUUUAUUUCUAAGAUAUGCAAAUGAAUGACAACAAAUUAUAAGAAUGAGCACCAUGAGGUAAAAAAAAUGCACAUGGAAAGACAAUAAACCAAAUUGUGCUUUCUUACAUUAAGUAUAUCAUCUUCGCCAAUCACACCAAACGGUAUAAUUGUGGCACCAAAUCUAGCAGCCAUCCUGACGAACUCUGAUUGUAAUGGCCAAAAUAACUUGUAUUCUUCUCCCUUAAAAGCAUAUAAAUCCAGGUAUAAGAGACAUGAUAAUAAGUAUACAAUCUGAGCGCAGUGGAUUCAAGGAGUUCAAAAUAUUAAUAAUUGACACCGUUUCAUCAAUGGCUGCCUAAAUUACAAAACUGUCACAGGUCAAAAGACAAUGGAUUACCUUUCUAUGGAGAGCCUCGCGCACACCUCCAGGAUACAAAAGAACAUGAGAAUUUUGAGAGAGAAGUUUAUAGAAGUUCGAUGGUGAGACAGGAACCCCACCCAUAAUUCUGUACAGGUCAAAUGAUGAAUAAUCAAGUAAACUUCGUUCCCAGUUCUUCCCAAACAUCAAUGGAUGUGCCAUGCCUCGCAAAAGAAUAUUUUUUUCAUACAGGAACCGAUUAAAAAGGGGACCCAACUCCAAACCCAGUAGCAUGUGAUAGCCAACAAGCACAACUGGUCCUUUCUGAGGUAUCCCCGCAAGGCCCCUCACGAUUUUCCCAUCAUCUAAAGUUGACAGCAUCACAGGGCUUAGAGCUAUAUCAACCAAUCUAGGAGGCAGGAAAUUUAAAUGUCAGAACUUAGAAAAGCUUAAAGUCCAUAUUGUAGCUAAGUUAUCACUGAAAGUAACUAAUGGAUUAUAAGAAUCUAUCUGGUGAAACUCAACAAAACUACAACAGAUAUUUUAUUAAUCAUUAUGAUAGUGUAUUGGUUUCAUAGUGACUGUUUAAAUAAAAUGCUGCAUUUCCGUAUUGAUAACAACAUAAUAUAAAUAAUUGAGUGGUGACAAUAUAACAUACUUCCUUCAUAAAAAUAAAAUAAAAUAACAUACUGCAAACCACGUAAUAAAUAAGCAUGUCUUUUUCAGUUUUCUCCAUGUUUAUAUUGAAACUAUAAAAGACAAUGACAGAGCGAAGUAAAAAAUUCACAAGACACUCCACUAAUAAUCCCAAGCAAGUGAUGACUGAUGACUAAAGGCUAAGUAACAAAACCUCCAAUCACGCCCCAAAUAUUGAGAUGAGGAUACACCCACACAAGCUGUCAAGAGGGAGGACAUAGCAUGGGUGUGCAGUCGUCUCACGUCUGAAAGUUAGCUCGAUACCCCCUACCUCUUUUAUACACAUUUCAUUGGCAACAAAUACACUCACCGGAUCAGUAUUCGGUGUCAACUAAUUGACAAUAUAAUCGGCCUAAUCGGGAAAUUUGAUCGGAUACCUCACUAAAGAUAAUUAAUACAGUUUUAUAUAAUCGAAUAAGUAGUGGUUAAAUCAAAGAAUCAAUCGCUGAUUUAUCCCAAUUAUAUAAUUGCCCGAUGCAGAACAUAUAUUAUGAUUUUUUUUCUUUCGAUAAAAGGUAUUCCAUUAAAAAUGAAGGAGAUUACAACCCCUCCCAUCAUGCGAUGUGGGCUUAACAUGUUACUAACCACCACAUACACACUUUAGAGAGCAACAUGAAAAAACACCGUUACAAGAGACAACCCCUGAUGUAGAACAAAAUGCCUAAUAUGAUUUCCUUACAUAAUCUAGAGUUACAGAUUUUUCUAGACAUUGUUUCUAAAUUUAGAAGUCAUAGUUUAUUUAGAAGUUUUAGAACUUAGAAGUAUCUAGGAAUUAGAAUUCUUAUUUUAUGUUCUUAAAUAAAAGUUUUAGGAAUUAGAAGUCUUAGUUUGGCUAUAUAAAGGCCUGAGUAGUCUAUUGUAAUUCAAUCAACUAUCAAUAUAAAAAAUUUCUGAGAUUUAUUUUCUAGUAGUUUAGCUAUUAUUCCUUCCCUUGAGGUUUAGCUAUCUGUUUGAGAUCAACAGAGAUCGUUUCGAACUUUGUAGACAAAGCAGUCAUCUGAUUUGUGAGGGAUUUUAUUGCGGAUUCAAACUCAGUUUUUGUAACAAGCUCUUGUUGUGACGGAGAUGAAUUUUUGCUUGGAGACAUGAUUGCAGAAUUCUGGGCUAUUGCAGAAAAUUUGUCUUCAGAAAAAUCGCAGGGAUCAUUUCUAGAUNNNNNNNNNNNNNNNNNNNNNNNNNNNNNNNNNNNNNNNNNNNNNNNNNNNNNNNNNNNNNNNNNNNNNNNNNNNNNNNNNNNNNNNNNNNNNNNNNNNNAACCUCGCUCUGAUACCAAACUGACGCAGAAUACGUCGAAGAAAACCUUGAAAAACCUCAAGGGAAGGAAUAAAAGCUAAACUACUAGAAAAUAAAUCUCAGAAAAUUUGUAUAUUGAUAGUUGAUUGAAUAACAAUAGACUACUCAGGCCUUUAUAUAGCCAAACUAAGACUUUUAAUUCCUAAAACUUCUAUUUAAGAACAUAAAAUAAGAAUUCUAAUUCCUAGAUACUUCUAUGUUCUAAAACUUCUAAAUAAACUAUGACUUCUAAAUUUAGAAACAAUGUCUAGAAAAAUCCGUAACUCUAAAUUAUGUAAGGAAAUCAUAUUAGGCAUUAUGUUCUACAUCAACCCCUUACACCCUAUAUAUUAUUAGGGCUGCUAUCUGAGCCGAGCGGCUCGGGCUCGGCUCGAUAAAAGCUCGGCUCGGCUCGCUCAUUUAUCUAAACGAGCCGAGUUCGAGCCGGUUUUUGAGCUCGUCACGAGCCCGAGCCGAGCUCGAGCUCUAAACGAGCCGAGCCGAGCAGCUCGUUUACUAUGGGCUUGGGCGGUUGGGCUUAUGGUAACUAUGGGCUUAGGCAGUUGGGCUUCUAUUGAAAAAUCAAAUUACUACCUAUGUUAACAAAACAACUUACAACUUAAUAACUCAAGGUUUCUUAUAAGCAUCUUGUGAUCCAGCAACCUGUUUUCUCUGCUUCUUGCACUUAGACCGCUCGUUUUUAAAAGACCUCUCGAGAUUGUCCACCCUCUUGAUCAAAGAGCUUAAUACACGAGCCUGCAUCUGAUUCACUUGAGCUUGCAGUUUGUUCUUCUCACACAAGUCUGCCACCAUUCCAACCAACAUUUCAUUCUUCUCCAUCAGCUUCUCCAUCAGCUUCUCCAUCAACUCUUUCAUACCAUCAUCAGUUUUCUCCUCUUGCUUACAUUCAGUUUCCAUUGUUGCAUCUUUCUUACCACAAUAUUCGUCCAAAUUCCCUUCUUCAACAACCUCCCUAUCUAAAGUUUCUUGCAUUUCAACUUCUCCAUCUAAAUUGGAAUCCCCUUGGCCCAAUUCUUCACCUAAAUUGGUUUCCUCAAUCAGAUUCAACAAAUUCCCAAUUCUGUUCUUCUACAUCUUGAUUUAGGGUUUCUUCUUGUUCAAAAACAAUAGAAUCUAAUCUCUCCUGCAACAUAAUUGCCUUUUUAAUCACAGAUUUCCUUAAUUCCCUAACCCCAGAAUCAAUCCCUCUAAUUGAAUCCAACUUAAACAAUAAACCCAUUAACAUCUCAUUCAACUUCAAUCUCUCCUUACCAUCUUUCUUCAACAAAUCAACCAAAUCCUUGUCAUAAAAUUUCUUCUCAAUAUCAUCUACUUGUUUCUUAAUUCCCAAAAUAGCCUUAACCCUUUUCCUUACAAGAAAACCUCUAAACAGUAAACACCUUCUGAAUUCGAAGGGCUGCUGUUGAUCUGUUAAUCUCUUUACCAACAUAAUGAACAGGAAUUGAAAAAACCUUUGGAGAAGAAAAGUUUCGUUCAACUGGAAUAUCUCGAUAUCUGGUUGUAGUGGUAGUGGUAGUGGUGGGUUUAUUGCAUAUUGUUGUUUACGAGCCGAACGAGCCAAACGAGCCAAACGAGCCAAACGAGCCAAACGAGCCAAACGAGCCAAACGAGCCGAAACGAGCCGAGCUCGAGUUUUACUUUUGGCUCGCGAGCCGAGCUCGAGCUCAUAGUUCGGCUCGAUCUAAAUUUUAAGCUCGGCUCGAGCUCGGCUCGGUUAGUAACGAGCCGAGUUUGAGCAUACCUUAGCUCGGCUCGAGCGGCUCGAAUAGCACCCCUAUAUAUUAUGAACACGAUUUGGUCAUAUGGUAUAAAGAGAAACCCAAUUUAAAUGAUCUAAGCAUCCAUUCAAUUUUAUUUUUUAUAUUAUCUAUUUCACCACAAAUUUGGACCCACUCAAAUCGGGAAAUGAUAUAGCUAUGCUUGAAUUAAUUCCAUUGCCUACAAACUCUGAGGUCAAACAAGAUUCAAGUACCUUAUAUUUUUGUGAUACCCCCAAGGGGGGUUGCGUUUGAAAGACGCCUAACCUUGGAAGGUGAUGGUAGUUCCAAGCAGUCUUAGACUUCAGUAUAUAAGAACUUCUCUGUAAAAUACUAGAAUUUGUAAACAGUGUGGAGUUUAGCGUAUAUCAAGAGUCCAUGACAGAUUGUUAUAAAAGGUGUGCCCUGAGCCAAAUUUCUUAGGGCUACGUAAACCUUGCUAUUAUUAAUAUAUAAGACAAAGAGAAGCCAUAAUUUAUAAAGGUCUCUCUUUCUCAUAUGAGUUCAUCUCUUUCUUCUCCUGCUUCUCACAAAGUCACAGGUAAAGAUAUAAGUCAACUAGGGUUAUGUUGGAAAGAGGCCUACCUUAGUCCCACUUCAGUCUUAGACAUCAGAAUAUAAGAAAUUAUACUAAUGUCUGAGGCCAUUUGAAGCAUGAUGGCACCAGAAUUCAUAAGAAGUCUUGAGUUAAUCAUGCUCCUUCGCGAGCUAUUUGGGAUGAGUUUAGCGGAUAGCUAACAAUCUUUUCAUUACAAGUAUUGAAUAUUACCUGUACCAUGAGUCAUAUACUUGUUUAAAUUCAGAUGGGGUAGGUGGCAUAAAAUCUGACACAUAGUCAAUUUUUCUUGUACGCCGAUAAAAACCAGCACCCUUAAUAAUGGUCACCAAAUCAACCCCACCUUCCUGGUUCAUAUAAAAAGAGUUAUCUUCUAAUGAAGUCCAGAUAUAAUCAGUUGCGAGGGUUAUUCCAUUGUGAAUAUUAUAUGUAAGGGAAUUUGCAGGCAGUGCAGUUAUUUCGAUGUUCUAAUGGAUCCAAAUACAACAGAGGAAUAUAAAAACAAAUAACCGAGUUAUGUGAAAUAAAAUUCCCUUAGAUUCAUGAUUAAAAUUUUCAGAUGUUCUGUACCAUAUAGUAAAGAGAGUACUAUUCAGCAAGCCAUUAAUUUCACGCACAUCAUAAGUGAGCUUAGCACUUUGAAUCGGUAUACGAGUCAUACAAUGUAAUAAGCUUGUAUGAAAAGAAAGCAAAUGGAAUAAGUGAUGAGAGACUCGUUCAUGUUGUUAACUUCAUCCAAAAAAAUGCAUGUCAUGGUGGUUAAAGACAGAUUCCACUUCAACUUUGGACCUACAAAGGCUAUGCAGUGCUUUCUGCUUGAUAAUGCAGAGUGGUCAACAACAGAUUUGAAAAAGGAUAAAUCUUGACAAGCUGCAUAGAAGAAAAUGAAGUUGGACCUCAACUCAAAGGAUCAGAAUUAUAACUUGCCCAGCCACACUACGCUUAAUCUUUACGAACUAUUUGUAACACUUGAGUGGAAUAAUAUCAAAUUGAAAACACAACUUUUAUGUGAGUGUUACCAGGUAACUAGGUAAGAUCAACCGAAAAGGGUCAACCCUUUAUGACAUUGGCAUAUACACUUGGGGGAAAACACCAUGAGAAAUAAACCAAAGCAUGUAAUAAAAUCAAUAUGUUAAAAAAAGGAUCUCGUCCAAUAGAUGCUUCUUUGUGCACGAAAGACCAAUUUUUAAAAUGGUGUAAUGGAGAUUCCAAAAGUAUAAGAAAAUAUAUGGGAAAAAUAAGCAUAUUGAAAAGGCACUUGAUUAUGUGUUUGUACCAUCAAGCUAAGUACAUGGAAACUGAAGCUGAAAGCAUGUUAAAGGCAGUACAACGUAAAAAUAAAACAUAUGCUGCUCACCAUUAAAAGGGCAUGACCACUGUCGUUGAAUUUACGGAUUUGGCAAGUUGGAAGCAAGUGGUAAAGCCUUUCAGCUUCUUCUAGACUUGGUAGCAGCUGGUCUUUUCCACUGAAACAAAAAAAUAGCAUAUCACCCUACAUGUCUUUUUUUAAGCUGAAUAAUAUAAAUUUUAUAUUCUGAUAAAAAUGUUUUUAUAACAUAUCGUUUUAAAAGAACACGAGCUAUUACCUAUUCCAUCAGUCCAAGACUGCAUAAAUUAUUUAAAAGUGAAAACAAUGAAAACACACAUACAUGUGAUAACAACUCGUCCUACAAAUGCAUGCAACAUAUUUUCCAUCCUUAAUUUAUCUCCGCCUUUAUUAAUAAAAAAAUGAAUUUUGAUAUUGAACUACAUUGAAAACAGAUAGAGUUCACACUUUUUGUCAAAACUGAGUUCCUCACUAGAAGAUCUGGACUGAUGCACAACAGUGGUAGAGAAUAUAAAGAUGGAAAAUUAGAAAACAAAUUAUACAGAAGUUUUAUGACAUGGUGAACUAAAUUAUGGAAACCAGAUUACAUAAAUGAGCUCAUCUGCAACUAUGCUAUAUCCCAUAUUCCCAUAAAGCAUCUUCCAAGUUGAUAUCAACGGGCUAGGGAAAAAUUUACUUAAUAUGAUGCUUUGCUCAACAUACGAAUAGUGACAGGCGAUGUCAUGACUGAGACACGUGUUGGAAGUAAGGAUAUUGUAGGUUUUAGGUGUGUAUUUUAGUCCCACAUAGCUUAGAUAUAAAGUCUAUGUGGUUUCUCUCUCUAUAUAUAGAGAAUUAGUUUCUUUGUAAGUUGAACCUAAUAUAUCAAUAUUAUCAUUCAUCUUUUAUAUUUCUAGUUGGUAUCACAGCCAAGGUAGGUCUUGGUUUUCGGCCGCCGGCGAGGUGCCGGUGGCCGGAGUUUCGUCGAAGGUCAGAUUUUUUUUUUUCUUGCUUCCGCUGUUUUUCUGCGACAUGUGUUUUUUUCCUGAGUACUGUUCACUACUAUUGUUCAUCAGAUACUAUUCACCAGAAUACUAUUGAUAUAAAACAGAGCUUAAUACAUCAAUAAGAACAAAUCAAACAAGAAUUAGCAAAAUUUUAACUCUGAUACCCUCAACGGCUCAACCCACUUACACCUGCUUGCCCCCCAUUAAAGUGAAUUACACCAUUGUGACAUCAGGCACCCAUUCUCAAUGGUGACUUCACUGACAUGUUUCACAUCUCUCUGCGCCUGUAUACUUUCAUUAAAGAGGAAAGUUUUGAUAAUGAGUAUCAUCUUCUCAAACAUAUUUAUAGGCCAAACAGUCUUCAACUCUUCAUGAACAUGGUUACGGCAUUCAUCUCAUGUCAGUCAGACCACACAUUUUUUUAUUCAUCAGAAUGUAGCAAUGCUUCACAUUGUUGUCUUGGUUAUGUAGAUUAUAUGAUGAAUGCUGGAGAUGACACAUUGCAGAGAAUAAAGGUAGGCAAAUUUAGGUUAGAUCUUUUACAUCAAAGACUUGGGGUCCCCUUCAAUUGGUAAGCUGUUAAAGGAGGAGAUGGAACUUGACUCCAUGUUGAGCGUUCAACCCCUUGCAACAUUACCGCUAAGCGCCUCACUGGGUAAAAUACUCAUUACUGCUUAGUGCCUCACUGGGUAAAAUAUUUCUUGAGUUUUCAAAACAUAAAAUACAACAAAAGGUAACUAAAUGCAUUAUUUCGAAACAUAAACAUCUGAUACAAACUAAAACUAAUUUCUUAAGCUACACUAGUAAAACCUGGCAAGGAUCAAAGUUUCAGCUUUGAUAGCAUGAAUACGAGAAUUGGCAAAGGAUGCGGCUGACUUGAGUAUUUGCAGCUUCCAAGGCAAUGAUUCUCUCGGUAAAAUAUCAGCUACAACCUGGAAGUUAAAUCAGUUAAUUUCUUGUUUAAAUGUGGAAUUGUUAUUGAAAAAUGAAACAGAGCCAAGAGUUGUAUCAUUUGGAUGAAAAGUCUCACUGUGCUUAAAUAAAACAAAAUGCAAACAGGAUAUGUUUGAAGAUGCUUUCAACUUUUUUUAGAUGCUGCAAAACAUGAAUACUGUUAAACUGUAUACAAAGAUAACAAUUAAAUGAAGUGGUCUUAUGGACGGAAAUAGUGGCCCCUUAGGCAGGAAACCUUCCAUGGUCAAACCACUCUGCUACCAAGUUUAGAAAUAAAAUUACAGUAAACUGGCAUUUGCCGGAGAUUCAAUAGUCAAUAAUCCAAAGCUCUGCCUAAAGAGAGAGAUCUUGAGAUACUAUAAUCUACUCAGAAUUGCUGGAUAAAAUAACAAAUCCGCUUUCAAUAUAAGACUAAGACCACUAGUUAAACUUAAGUAACUAUAUUAACAGUUAUAAAGACCAUAACGGAGUUCGCCCAUGGACAGUGGAACUAGCUAAAUAGGAUGCAUUUUUUUAUUCCACGGGAUAAGUGAUCGAAUGACUUUCAAUAUCAAUGAAGGCUCUUCAAGCGUUCGGUCCAAAGAGUAGCAUGAAACAUUACGAAAAGGUUAGAAGAAUGCAAAAGAAACCUGUUUUGUCCUAUCUCAUCCUCAUGGAGAAAAUCAACUUCUCGGUAGAUGCAAAAACUAGGACGGGAAGUUCUAGGUCACACGUCGGUUGGUUCAAAUAAAAAAACCUCAAUUCUUGCAUUAGAAUGGAAGACCUUCAUUGUUACUUUUGCACACAGGGUAUGAUUGUCAUUAAUGUCCAAAGAACUCUUUAGGGCAAUGCAAUUUAAAGAGAAACUUCUAAUAGCUAAAUAUUUCUCCUUACUGAGCAAAGAAUUUUUGGCUAUGACAAUGUACUCAUAUCUUAACAGCGAGACUGACCGAAAGGGAUGGUAAAGUAGCAGCAAGGUUCUCUGAUAAUUCAACAACUGUUUGUUGAAGCGGGAGCCCUUUUUCAAUAGUAGCCAUCAUCAUCCUGAAAGGAUCACCUAAAAUUUGGAAGUAAUCUCAGUUGAUUGAACACCUUACAAUUAUAUAAACUCGAAAGAUAAUAAUAAUCUAGUUAGUAAGUAAAAUGUUCACCGACAAUUAAAAGAAAGACCUAGGAAUGUGGAAAUCAAACCUGCAACAAGACCUAGGAUAUAGGGGAAACCAACAUGGAGCUGUUCAGGCAUGGCCUCCAGAACAGGAAGAAGGGGGAGAAGAGGUCGCAGCUGUGACUUGCUCAAUGAAGUAGCUGCCAAAGACCAAAUAAGGUAAAUUGAGUGCCACGUCAAACAAUUUUUGAUUGAUCUAACCACUAUGUUAUGUGAAAUAUGUUGUGAUUGUUGUCACUCCUAUUUGGUACAUUCCCAAUUUGAAAAAACUUCAAUAAUAAUUAUGUAUCUUAUCAAGAUUACUGAAGGAUAUUUCCUACUAAAAUCUGUGCCAAACCAUCGAACUUGUAACAUUUACGCAGGCCAUCAAAAUUAAAACCAUACCCGGGUUCACUAGGAUUAGCAUAAGAUCAGCAGUAGGGUUUCGGGCUGCGACAGCUAGUGCAAGGCAUCCUCCAAAAGACUCUCCAACAAGAUAAAUGGGUCUAUUUGGUGAACGAGAGCUCUCUGACUUGACUGUCCUUUCAACUAAGCGCACAAGGUCUGAAAAACCAAUUAAUAUUGAAGAGCUUCAAUAAUAAAAUAAGAUAGCCAUCUCUAUCAUUAAAUGAUUGCAUGUAAAAAUUAUUAGAAUGUAUAUAUAUUUAAUUCAAUAAAGGUGUCUAGUACUGUGAUGAUUUUACAAGGGAGUCCAACAAUUGAAACAAAACAUAUAGCUUGUUCAUUUAUUAUCUAAUUUGGCAUGGAAAUAAAUAAGAGAUAAUGAAACUAACCUUCAAAAGGUGUCCGAUCCAUAACUGGAAUAUGUAAACACCAUAUAUCAAAAAUCCUACACUCAAGCAAAAUAACAUAAUAUGUUGAAUAAUGUCAGACAGUAAUGGACAAUUAAAGCAACAUUAGGAUUUUUUUAAUUUUAUUAACUGUUUUUAUUUUAUUUUUUCUGGGUUAUCAAAGCUAUGAGGAGGUAGCUGAAAUAGAUUGCGUAUUUUGAAGUGUGGUAAAAUUACUUUGGUAAUAGACUCGCAAUUUUGGUUUGAGUUUAUAUAUCUGGAAAUAGUGUAUGCCUUAUAGCAGUUAUGAUGGUUGGUGAGCCUCUGGCAAGAUGAAGCCAUGCCUUAUAAGUUAUGAUAGUCAGGAUGCAUCAAAUACAUUGAACAUGAAUGCCUUUAGGUUAAUGCUCAUGAGUGGUCUCAUGAGAAAGAUGUUGUCAAGUGCUUUCCAGAAAUAUAAGUUUGUCAAAAACUGAUUUGUGAAUAGAAAGUUAUGGCAUUUUCAAAAUUUGGAAUAUCACAAUGUACAACAAAUUCCCACAUUUCACAACCAUCCCUCACCAGAUGCUCAUGUUGUUUUUUGUUCUCAUUAUUUCUGUACCCUUCUGAUCCAUUCUAGUCACAUUUGUACCAUCAUAAACAUGGCAGCUUUAAAAAAAAACUCAAAGCAUAUUCCUGGAAACUGAAUAAUUACUCUAAGCCUAGACUAGAAACUAAAGUAAAUCGGAAAAAUAACUUCAUCCCAAUUCCCUCUAAAAACAAAGGAUCCAAUCCCCACCAUACCACAUAACAUUUAGCAAGUCCAACAGACCAAGGCGACUAAAACAUUAACAUGUCAUGUGGUUGGGAAUGGGAUACUUACUUCCCGAGUCUCUGGUGGUUCAUGAUGAGACCAAGUCCAAUUCCAUCAACUCCUACAAAUUAUUACAAAAUGCACAUAACCCUCAAACAACAAAAAAACUGAAAGUUCACAAGUGUCAUCACUGUAAUUUAUGUAAAAUCAAAGGGUAAACAAAAAUACAUAAUACAUAACAUACCAGGGAGGAAAAGUAGAAGAGGAGAAUGAUUCCAUCGAGCUCCACAUUCCAAAGGCGAAAACCAACGUGGUGGUCCACCAUCCGAUUUAAUCAUCUCUUUCGCUCUUUCUAAAUAAUCUUUCACACUCAACUGUUCAAUUUCCGAUUCAUCAAAAGCCUUAGGAAUUGUUGUUGUUGUUGUUUCCUUUGUUACAGAUUGUUUCUCAACUUGUUUCCGUUUUGAUUCAGUUGAUUGUUUAACUGAAAUUGAACUUACUUUGAACUUUCCGGCAACUAAUCUCUUUUUCCGGUGAGUAAUUCGUGUUGUAAAUAAACUUACUCCGAUUGCCGCCAUUAAACCUCAGAAUCAAACAGCUCUCUCUCUCUCUCUCUCUCUCUCUCUCUCUCUAUAAUAAUCAAGAUUUUGGAAGUAAACACUAAUAAACCAGUAAACAGAGUGGAAUGUAUCGGCUAACUAACUAAUAUAUAUCGGCCGAUUCACUUGUAGAGUAGCAUAGACACGUGCAUAUCACGUGCUAAAAUUACCGUUUUCCCAUCAGUUUUGUCAAAACUCAAAAGUCAAAGCAAGAAACUGAAGAAGAAAAUGGAAGUGGAGAAGAAGAAGGAGAUGAGAUAUGCAGUAGUUACAGGUGCAAAUAAAGGUAUUGGACUUGAGAUUGCUCGUAAAUUAGCAGAAGAAGAAAGUGUUAUAGUUAUAUUAACUGCUAGAGAUGAGAAGAGAGGAAUGGAUGCAACUUCAUCACUCAACACUACUCAUCUUCUUAAUGGCAAUAAUAAGAAGAAAGUGUUUUUCCAUCAACUUGAUGUUCGAGAUCCCAAUAGUGCUCAAGCUUUAGCUAAUUUUAUUCAAACUCAAUUUGGAAAACUUGAUAUUCUGGUAAGAUUCAUUUACAACUUCUUUGAUAUGCUAUAUGAAUUUUAAUCUUGUUUGAAACUGCCAAGACAUAACACAAUCUAAUCUGUUGUUUUAAAAUGAUUGAAAGAAGGGUUUUACUUUCAAAUGUGUGCUUGCUAGUUGUUAUUGCUAUUAUAUACAAUAUUAAUUAGUAUGAAAAUAUAUUGUGGAAUUCAUAACUUAUGUAGACUACUUAUUCAGAGUAUCAAAGUUGUCCUCAGGUAGAAUUUGUGUUCCACGUAGCCAGACCAUAUUGUCAGAAGAGCAAUCCUUGUUCUCGAUAGUAUUUGGGUGAAACAAAUUUUCUGACCAGUUGAACCUUAACUCAAAUAGCUGUGGCAAAUUGUACAUUUUAUCCUUGUUGCACACUACUUGAGGCUUUACAUCAAGAGUUGAAUUCGUGAAACCUGUGGCCAAUUCGGUGAGAUCAAUCUUUGCAUUUGGUCGAUACUUGAAACUCUGCCAGGCCGUGUUAACUUUAUGGUAUCCGUUCAAGGCUGUUUUUAAGUACUCCAAUUGAGGAUAUUCAGUUUGCUGGCUUCCGAUUGUGCCUCCCAUUCAUGCUUCCAAAACUGAAUAUAUUCAGCUAUUCCUUUUAUAUACUUCAAAUUAGGCCAAUACUCUCUCAUUUCAUGUAAUGGAAUCUAUCACAUUUGAAAAUAUUCGAUCAACCUCAGAGCAAAAAAGAAGAUGAAAUAUAGCUCAUAAAAAACAUAUAGUUUCAGAAUACUACCUUGUUUUAUUUCCAUACAUCUCCAACUAUGGGAAGUUCACCACCAUAUUUCAUCUCAGGCCACAGGCCAUGGAUAAUUAGUUGAAGGGGAAUAUCCACAGGCUUGCUGUUUUUACAUAUAUUGGGUUCCACAUUAUUGCCGCAAAAUGCAACUGGCCAUUGUAUGACAAGUAAAUAGUAAUCUGGCUUAAUUGGUGGGGGUGCUGGUGGUGGUGGUGAUCGUGAGCGCCAAAGUGGUAGUAUGGGUGGACGUGGUGGUAACCUCCCAAGUGGUGGUGAACGGUUAUGUGGCUUAGCUGUAGAAAGUGGCAAUAAUAUGAGAAGUGAGAAAAGCAUGACAUGAACUGAAGAAGCCAUUGCAGAAGUUUCAAGUUUGGAGUUGAUUAUUUAAUCUUAUAAGCUCAGACCCACUGUUUUUCAUUCUUACAGAAUCCUAUCAGAUUUUUUAGGCAAAAAGUAGAUAGCUUUAAGGUUUCUUAUAGGAUCUUAAAAAAAAAAAAUUUAGUGACCAUACGAUCUUAUAGCUAUAAAGGUGAAAGAGCAAUCGACAAGUGUAUUAAAUGGUCUCAAUUUAUGGAGGCAUUAAAAUGUCCUGAAACCCUUGCUUAUAGGCAUAAGAUGGAUAAAAUUGAUUGAAUGCAGCUGUAUGUUAUGUAUUUGACCCUACAGUAACAGAGUUUACUUAUAUGUUGAUGUAAUACUAUCGGCGGAAGCAAACAAUAAUAAGAACAUCAAUUAAAUAAAUGGUUUGAACACCCAAAAACUAGGGUUCUUCACAAAAACGAAUUUAAUGUCUCAAGACAUAAACAAAUCUUCAAUCUCACCUACUUAAUAGGGUUUGCAAUCCCCUAUUUAUAAUAACCUAAACCUAAUCCUAACUACACUAGAAAGCUAAGUAAAUAGAAACUACUACUAGGGAUGUUCUAAUCCAUAUAGGAAUCUGCAGGAACUAUGAGGCAUGUGCCUUGCACAUGGUAUCUUUAUGCAUAUGCAUCAUAUGUACAUGAUGAUUUCACUCAUAAUUAUCUGCAUUCUGUUUGAGACCAUUGUUGUUUAUCAAAUCACUUCUGCGGUUGUUAACCUUCUAGGAAUACUGUACUUACUUUGAUAAACAUGUGUUUGCUCACCUUCUAUGCACGAUUCCUUCUCACUAGUUCUCUAUAAUCAAGUAUAGCGAUGCCUAGCCAUGUGUACUUGCACUCUUUAGGUGAACUUUUCUAGUACAUUAAGUUCCUUUUUUUUCUCGGUAAGAAAAGAAUAUAUUAAUGAUGAAAAACAUAUAAAGGGAAGUACAAGGUUUCCAACAUGAUCUAUAUCAUGAGUAAAUCCCCAGCGAGCUGUCCAAUACUCAGACAUGAUCAUGAAGGAGGACCAGAGCGCCUUAGUCUAAUAUACUUCCUAUGGGGGUCAUUCAUAAAGGAAAGGAGGCCUUCCAACAUAACUUCCAAUAACAUCUGAACAUAAGUUAACCUCAAAGUUUGCCAAGGUAUCAACAGCAAAAUUAGCUUCUCUCCAUGUAGAAGAAAUCACUACAUGCUGCAUCUUCUGCUUGACAUUUGCGCACCUAGCCUUCAUAUACCAAGGUACCUCCUUCUUGCCAAAAGCAUGUACUGAGCCACAGAGUUAGACUCUAUCCAUAGUUCCUCCAAGCCUUGUGUUUCAUUCUGCACCCAUUAGAAUGGCCUCACAUUCUGCCGAAAAGCUAGUUACGUUACGUAGACCUUUGCAGACAACACCCAUUAUUCUACCUUGUGAGACUCUGAAUAUAUUACCCAACCCCUGCCUCCGCUGGGUUGCCCUUGGAUGCCCCAUCUGAGUUCAUCUUUAUGAAUAUUUCAGAAGGUAAGUGCCAGUGUACUAGCAUUACACUCGCAGAACCCUUGUAUUUGAUAGGAAUCCUAAGCUUGUGCAACAUGUGUAUCUUGAGGCAAGCUAUGUCUUCUUGACAGAGUGGCAGCUACCUUACUCCACAUCAUAAUGCUGGCUUUAAUUGUUUGUUUAAUCAACCAAUUGUGUGCCAAGCUAGGUUGUGUCUGGCAUGCCAGGGUUCAACGGAGGAUUCACAAUGGAGCUUUGGAGUGUAGUGAGUGUUAACUGGCGAGGAGAAUCAAGUAAUCAAGUCUACAUAUUUGUCGUAAAAUUGAAAAAUAAAUCAUUCUUUUUUCUCUCUCUCUCUCGAUAAAAGCGAGCUGGGGUUAGGCAAACCCCUAUUUGCAAUAUCUUAUUAUAGUAAUUUACAGAUAUGGUUGGUGCCGUACUGAUUUUCAAUGAUUGUGAUAGGUAAACAAUGCUGGGGCAUCUGGAGUUGUAGUGGAUGAAGAAGGUUUGAAAGCCUUAAACAUUGAUCCAAUUGCUUGGGUAAGUAUGAAACAUGUUAUUCAUUUCAUUCUGCAUCUUCAAGAAGCUUGAUUUAGACACAACCAAACUAUUACACUUUGAUGCAGCUCUCUGGCAAAGCCACCAACACAGUGCAAGGAGUGAUACAACAAACUUAUGAAAAGGCUGAAGAAUGCCUUGACACCAACUACUAUGGUUGCAAAAGGGUGACAGAAGCUCUUUUACCUCUUCUCAAGCUUUCUGAUAUCGGAGCAAGGAUCAUCAAUGUCUCGUCUUUGAGAUCAGAGCUGAAGGUGAAAAUGUUCGAAAAUGUCUAUCCUAAGUAUAUUGCUUUAGGUGUUUGAACCAUUCCAUUUGUUACAUACAACUUUGGGAUUAAUGUUUAUUGACCUCUGCAUGCAGAGGAUGCCCAAUGAACGAACUCGAAAAGAACUGAACAACAUAAGCACCUUGACAGAAGAGAAAGUGGAUAAUUUGGUCAAAAAAUUUCUACAUGAUUUGAAACAAGGGAAGCUGGAAGAGAAUGGAUGGCCGAUGAUGUUACCUGCUUAUAGUGUCUCCAAGACGAUGCUCAACGCCUAUACUAGAAUUCUUGCAAAGAAGUACCUGGAUAUGUAUAUAAAUUGUGUCCAUCCUGGCUAUGUCAAUACUGAUAUAAAUUGGCAUACAGGCACCAUGGCAGUUGAAGAGGGGGCUAGAGGUCCAGUCAUGUUGGCUUUGCUACCAACUGGAGGGCCUUCAGGAUGUUAUUUUGAUCAAACGGAAGUGGUGGAGUUUUAACUCUCUGAAACAGUAGUACAAGCUGUGGUCUAUAUUAUUUGGCUAUCAUACAGACUUCAGGAUUGUGGUGAAGCAGGUAAAGUAUCAAAAUUUGUCUUGUUGCAUUUUAAAUUGUGUCAUUCGGUUGCUGAAAACCAGCAUUAACUGAGUUCCUCAUCAGUUUUAUUCUCUGGUAUGCGUUGUACUUUUUAUCUGUCAUAUGUUUGAUUUAUUUCCUAUUUUCAUGCUGUAUAUUUGGAAGCUCUACUUUUUACCUGUUAUGCAAUUCGAGUGGAUCUAAAUGUAUUUGGAAAGUACUUCAAAGUUCAGAAAGUUUCAGAACUGAAAAUUCAGUAAAUGUAGAACUGAACAUUUAGUAUCACACUUCUGCAAAACUGCAGUGAGAUGCCUUUUGAUAGAUAAAAUUCUUAGCUCUGCUUGCAGGGGCUGAACCAGGAAUUCUAAGGCCCAAGAUGAGAAGUGAGUAGAAAAAACUCCAAACAGUGUCAACAAAACCCAAAAGGUAUAGAAGUCCUAGGAAUUUAGGAAGCAAAGGCUCUCACACCCUGUGACCUGUUGUAUACAUGACUCAAAAACAGGCCUCACAUAAGACCCUAUCUCAUUUUAUCAUUUCUCGUGAUAAUUUAGAAUUUGUACUUUGAACUAGGUCAUGGCUAGACUAUCUUCACAUUAUUGAGCAUCAACGCUGGUUAGAGAUAAGAACAGGUGCAUGUCAAAUUGUUAAUUGACUGGUAGUUGACGAUCCACAUCGUUGUCCGCGUAGUCCUUACAACUCCACAACGCGACCUAGGACUUAAAUACACACUUAGUUUAGAUUCGAUUAAACUGGAACUUGGAUUCAUGAACGAAAAGUAUUAAAAAAUUCCAUUUAGAGGGUAGAUCUCCGACAUCAUCCCUGCGGUGAAGUAUAGGCACCAGCUAGCAUCAUAUGUGCAUUGUAUAAUAUAGUGCUUUAUUAGAGAUGUUCUCAUCAGGCUUUAUUAGAUCUCCAGUGGAUCUAUCUAUAAUGUUUUCCUUGGGUUUUUGUUAUUUGCCCAUAAAAAGUUGGCAAAGUUACUGAGGUUUAAUGCUCUAGCUCAAUGGCCAAUGGUAUUGAAUAUUGCCAGGUGGCCUGGUUAGAGUUUGGUAUAUGUGGGCAACACAAAAAUAAGAAAGAAGGUGUGAAAUUAAACACCUGAUACCCUAUAUCUUUGAAAUGCCCAAUAAGAAGGAUAAUAGUUUGUUGUGGGCAUUACUGCCAAUGGUGUUCCUAUCUUCCUAGUUCAACUUCCUUCUAGAUGACUUUUAGAGUGAAAUCAUCAAUCUGUGCUUGUUUGAGUUUCUGUUCUGAACUUCUGAUAAGGCCUUAGAAAAAGAAGCGUGUUGGGAACCAUUGUAAACAUUGCACAAAAACAAAAAAGGUAUAUGAUGAUGAGCAGACAUAUGAGGCAUGUAACCUACUUAAUUAAUAAUAAAAGCACCAUAUAUAUAUGUAGUUGGAAAGCUACUUGACUUGAGUCCAAUCAAAGUCAAAAUCCAACACAGUACAUGAUAAGCAUAAUUAGAAUAUACAGAAGCAUUGCCCUACAACUCAGGUCACAAUUUGAAUAAGAACAUUGUAUUCGUUAUUCAUGUCAAUUUUAGACCAAAAUAUCUAUUUUUCAAAGUUAUUGUGCAUUCAACAUUGAUUUCAAAUUAUUGUUUCUGAAUUCUUCUCUGCCCAAUUGCCCAUAGUACUGCAAUAAUAAUUUUUUGUACAUAAUUAUCAGUGAUGGCUCAACAUGCAAAUUGAACAAAAGACAUGAUUUUAACAUUCAAUUCUCAUUAUAUAGUCUAUACUACCUUUCAUUGUCUUUGAUUAAAUUUUUUUAGAUAGUUUGAGAAAUAAGUGAAUAGGACCACAUUAUUACCUGCUCAAUUUAACUCAGCAUCUAAUCCUACAUUAGUCUAGGGUUCCACACGCGGUUUGACUAGGGGUGGGCACGGUCCGGUCCGGUCCUAAAAUGUAAUAGGACCGGGACCAAACCGACUUGAAAGUAUCGGUUCGGUUUCGGUUCCAUGGACCGAAAUUUUUUGAAUGAAACCGGACCGAACCGGACCAAAUACAAUCGGUCCGGUUUCGGUCCGAAAGUCGGUCCUGGGCUUUUUAUUGGGCCUUUAGUCCAUGGAACCAAGUUAACAACUGGGCUUAUUCUAUUCUUGUUCCUGAAAAUGGAAGAAUACACAAAUCUGUCAGAGAAAGUUUUAGAGAUCAGUUCAUUACGUUUAACUGGUUCUGCUUUACUUGAUUUUUCUUCUGGUGAAUCUCUUUCUGUUUCUGAUCAAACUCCACAUAUUCUUCUUCAUAAUAACAAUAAUAAUACUACUUCUUCUUCUUCUUCUUUUAGAACUCAUUCUGAUCAAAUUCCAUUACAACAACAACAUCAUCAUCAAAGAUCAAACCUUUAUCAUGAUUCUUCUGUUACUUCACCUUCACUUAAACCACCACCACUUCCACCUCAGUUUUCUUCUUCUUCACCUUCUUCUUCUCCUACUAUUAGAAGUUCUAAACUUCCACAUAUUUUAUCUGAAUCAAGUUUAUCUUCUACACCAAUUCCUCGUUAUAAAUCUUCUCAUGAUGAUGAAAGAUUUACUAAAUUGCCACCACUUUCAUCAAUUUCUUCAUCUUUUGAAAGAACACCUUCACAAGCUUCUUCAGCUUGGAAUUGGGAAAAUUUUUAUCCACCAUCACCACCUGAUUCUGAGUUUUUUCAACAAUCCAAACAACAAAAUCAACAUUCUCAACAACCCAAUCAUCAUCUUGAUGGUGAAGAAGAAGAAGAAACUGAAAGAGAAGAAGUUCAUUGUAGUGAAUGGGGUGAUCAUUAUAGUACUACAAGUUCAGAUAGAGAAUCAAGAUCCGAACUUGGAAGUAGAUCCAACUUUGGGUCUUCUGUUCAUAAUGAAACUCAAUCCAAAUCCAAUUUUAGGCCUAAAUCAGAGAAAUUUGAUGAAGCAGGAUCUUCUGUUAGUUGGAAUGUAGGUGCAGAACAGAUCUCUGAUAUGAAAAUGGUUGUUACUUGUUAGACAAAUACCAAGAAUCAUUUAUCUUUCUUGAAAAAUUAGAUUGAAAGAUUUCUCACCUUUUUUCUAUAGAAACAGAGAGUUUUGAUAAAGAAAAAGAAUCUUAUUAAGAUGGAAAUGGAAAUGGAAAAGGUAGGAGAUAGAAUAGAAAUGAGAUUUAUUUUUAUUUCGGUUCGGUUCGGUUCUCUCGGUUCUAUAAAAACAAGAACCGAGACCGGACCAAUAGCUAUAUAAUUCGGUUCGGUUUCGGUCCGGUCUUGACCGGUUUUUAGUCAACUCGGUUUUGACCGGUUUUGACUCGGUUUUUUCGGUUCGGUUUUCGGUUUUUCGAUUUUUUUGCCCACCCCUAGGUUUGACGCAUAAAUGCCUAUAUAUCUGAUUUUUGUAAAGUAAGCAUGAUCUUGUGUUAAAAAAAAACAUUUUUAAUCUUGUCAAAUUCAUCAGUAAUUUAGAAAUUUUCCAGAGUGAUUUGAUCAUCAAUUUUACAUUUUCGCAUAAUAGUUUGGGCCAUGGUAGAGUGUAAAAAAGUAGGCUAAACAAAUUUCAAAAGGCCCAAAAGAAUAUUUGAUCACAUGAGCUUAAACUGGCACGUUAUCUAUAUUGUUUGGAGUGUAUACAAUGUCUGUAUGUACGUAUCAAAACUAGUUCUGUUGAGAAUUGUUUGUCACACACUUUUCAAACAAAUCUUGAUUCUCUUUCCAUCUUUCCACACUAUCAAUGGUCAUUAUUGUUUUAAAUGCAAAUCUCAACACACACUUUGUUUGAUAACACUUUUAUCUUUUCACAUCUGUCUAUCAUAAAGCAAAGUUGCAAAGAUUCCCUUUCUCUUAACUCUCUAUAAAUGCACAUUGUUGUCUUGGUUUUUCUCUUCAUUUUUCUUUACACAAUUUCUCUUCUUUCUAAAUUUCUAGUAUUUUGUUGUUUCAAGAUCUUAUAAUGGAGAGCUUUGAAAUGAACACAGAGAAAAACCCAUCUGAGAGAUUAACAGAGAAAGGGUUUCUUAUAGGUCAAGCUGCAGUAAGAACUAUGAGUAUUGCAACUACAUUGAUUGCAAUAGUGUUGAUGACCACAAGCAAAGAACACAAGCUAAUUUUUGGCUUUGAACUUGCUGCUAGUUAUAGCUACUCCCCUGCUUUCAAGUAAGUCUAAAUCCAUUUAAAUAAGUUGAUUUAAUUUAAUGAUUUCUUCUUAGCUUAUAUUCUCUCAAACUCAAUCUUUGCAGGUUCUGUGUUGCUGCAAACUCUGUUGCAUGUUUCUUAUCUGUCACAUCUCUAUGUGUUUUCUUGUAUUAUGUUAGACUUUCCCAUCCAAGCCAAAAAAUAUAUUUCACCAUGUUUUUGCUUGAUUUGGUAAGUUAAUUAGUAGAACCCUUUUAUUUAUUUUUAUUAUUUCUUAAAAAAAUAACUUAUUUAUUUAUUUAUUUUUAUGGUCAUCAGAUGGUGAUGUUGUGUGUAGUAUCAGGAAGCUCAGCAGCAACAGCAAUUGGUUAUAUAGGUCAGUACGGGAAUAGUCAUGCAGGUUGGAUGCCAAUAUGUGAUCAUUUUGGGAAGUUUUGUAACAGAAUCAAGGCUUCACUCAUCUUGACCUAUCUAUCUGCUUUGCUCUUCACAGUUCUCGCAGUUUGGACUACAUUGAAAGCAAUUAAAUUACAAUUAAUAUCUGAAUCAGAACAUAAUUUGAAGAUGAGAAAAGAAAACAAGAUUGGUAAUGAUUUUGUUUCUUCAAGCUAAAAAUGUGAAUCAACAAGGGUUCAAUUCUCUUGGUUUGUCACAUUGCCUAGCUAGCAACUUGUUUCUGUAAAAAUAAUUAGUAGUUCAGCAGAUGAAGUUGGAAAAUCUUAGUAGUAUUUUGUUUGUUUAGUGUUGUUGGUUUGAGGUUUCUAUAUUAAGUGUAGAUAUUAAUGAAGUUGGAAAAAGUUUGUUGGUUUUUUUUAAUUUAGUUUGAUUGAUAAGUUUGAGUACCAUGAUUCAACUGUGUUUGCACUGGAAAGGCAUGUACUAAACAAUUUAGAUGUGUGAUAUGUUGUUGUGUAUAGUUUGUGUUUUUUCUUUCUUUCUUUCAUCACUAAAAAAAAAAAAAUUAGUGCGUAAAAAAAAAUUCCAAGCAGAGAAGAAAAUGGAAAAAAGAAAAAUGGAAUUCCGUUGCCGGGACUUGAACCCGGGUCUCUCGGGUGAGAGCCGAGUAUCCUAACCAACUAGACUACAACGGAUUGAUGUCUAGUUUUUAAUUGUAUAUAAUAUAUUACAUGUGUUUCCAUAGAACAUUUUAUUCAUGAGAAGAGAACCACAGAUUUCUUGAAGCUUCUUAGAUUCUGCUGUACCUCUCAAAAAUAAAAGAGGGGCAUAUCACACAUGUGUGGCUAUGAGCCUAAAAGCAUUAAUAGUUGGUGUGUUUUUUUUUUUUUUUUUCCCAGUACGACAUAAGUCAUACAAAGUGUAAAAUCUCCAUUCCUUGUCAUUCAUACAUACAUAGUAUUAGUACUUACAGUCAGUUCUUAAAUAGACAGAAAUUGGGUCAGCUUUGUUUGGUACACCUUUUUACAGAGAAUUUUAUAUGUGUAGUUUACUUGUAUGUGGGUGUGUACAUCCAAUCACAAAAUGUCAUGUGGCAAUAAUAAUAUAACCUAGUAUGGGUUUAGUUAACCCUAGUGGGCUUGAUCAGUUUUUCAACCACUUUAUAGACACGUGGCAUCAUAUGAUUGGGUGUACACACCCACAUAGAAGUUUGCUGCACAUAAAUUUUUUUGACCUUUUUAAAAGCUUUUGCCAGUGCCUUGGUGCACAUGCUCUUGUCAAUCCCCAUUAAACAUCUAUCUAUCAAUGUUAUGGCAUUAUAGACUGAGUGAACCACUGGCCACUUUGUUGUUACAGUAUAUUGGAUUUCAAAGUCAAAUUAUAUAUUGCAUGGUUUCAUACAAGUGUCUGAAGAGCCUUUUGCACUAUAAGCUUUUCCAGCUAUAAAAUCUCAGCAAUAGCAAUUGGAUAUUUGGAUUUGGAUAGAAUGCUUCAAAAGUUGUCUUACCUGGAAAGUAGAUAGAGAGAGUUUUGAAAUUUUGAUUCCUUGGAUUAAGGUAUUCAGUAUUGUCACUUGAUGUUACAUAGAAAUAUCACAACUUCUAUUCAUUGUGUUAAAGACAACAGGAAUGCCAGUAGCAAGUGUAGAGGAACAACAUUUUGGUUAUUGUUGCGUAUCUAAUAGUUCAUUGGAAAAUGACUAUUUUUUAGUAUUGAUCAUCAUAGUGAAAUAAAUAAAUUUGAAAACCAAAGACAACAUCCGACUGGCUGGUAUACAUUAUAUUCAUCCGUACAUCCAAGGACAGACUGGGUGGUACGUGUGCAUCCACCCGUGGGUUGAACUUGAAGUUGCCUAGAUGUCCGAAUGAGCGAAAGACAUGUAUAUAUUUAGCUUCCUAUGGAUUGAAGUUGCCUAGACUUACGAACGAGCGAAGGACAUUGCCCUCUCUGGUUAGUUUCAGUUUCUAACUAGUCAUAUCGCGGUCUCUCAAUCUUGGCCAAACUGGAGUACCCUAAUUUGGAGAAAUUAAUAAAUUUGCUUGUUUGUUUAUAUUUGUGCUAUUAGAUUUGCCUUUGAAAAUGAAGUCAAAUUCUGACAUAAAUUUUACUGUGACAACAACCACAACCAUAAACUCAUAAUAAUGCCUUUGUCCCAAGUGUUUGAAGCGUUACGGAUGAUAGGCCCAAGUUAGUGAAAAGUCCUCACAGUUGGUGCAUCUUGUUCAUCAGUUUGACAGUUUCACCAAGAGACUGUUCCCAGAAACCUGCUUACUAAAUUACAGAUUAGCAUAAUUGAGUAUCUAAAUGUAAUUCCACAAUAUUUCUUUCAACACAGAACAAACUUAGGCAAGCUCAUCAUACAACAUUGAAUGAUUGACUGAUCAUGAUAUGAUAGUGGUACUUAUGAUGAGACAUGAGCCUUUGCCGUAAUGGUUAGGUACUUAGGUACAUGACUCACUAGGGGAACCAACUAGCGGUUUAAAACUCUGGUGGAUUAGCGGUCGGUGGUGAUGUGUCUUCUUAGGUGGACCACAGCGAUAGCAAGUCUUCAUAGAUCAAAAUGAUGUUCUUGGCGCUUAGGUAGCAACCAACAUGGCAACAUGGUGAUGUAGACUUUGGAUAUGGUUUAACUGACACUUCAGGAGUUCAGGGCCAGUAAUAAUAGUCGUCAGGCUUUGUUGCGAGACAUAAAAAAUAAGCAAUGUGUGCUCGUUUCUAAUGAAAGUGGCCAUUGAUGUUCACAUUCUAAAUCUUAUUCAGUGAUGGACACAAGAAACCACUAACCAUCAAUAGGUAGAAACAGAUGCAAAGUUGCAUCUGAUCUUUUACAGGGAAGAAACCAAAUUUAUCUUGCCAACCGGAGCAGUUCUUACAGAAGUGCUUUCCUGCGUUUAUCUGGCUCACUGCUUUAGCCAGGCAUCAGCACCAUAGCAUUUCACCUAAAUGGUUUCAAAUACUAUGAUGCUCUAUACAGCUUCACAGUACCUUGCCGCACAAACACCUAGUCUGUCAACCUAAUGUUGGGGGAUGAUGCUCCCUUAUGGACAUCAUCUUUGAAACAGAGAGACUGUUCCUCGAAACAGAGACUGUUUUGUAAGUACACUCAAAUGCUCGAUACAUAAAUAACUUGAUGAUUAAUCAAAAGAUAGGACAUCUCAACUAGUAUAAUAUUUUCGACUGUUUAAACUGCACAUAUUGUUUUUGUACUACAUAAUUUGAUAUUUCAUAAUCUCGAAUCCGUGGAUAUACAGUAAUGAACAUAUGGUCAUACUCACAAGGUGAAUAUAUGCCAAACAUGAAUGACAUAUUUAGUCUCAAAGUGAGCAGGGAAAAGAACGACGGACAUACAAUCUCAUUCAUUUUGUCUCAUCGUCCCCGUCUUUGAGGUGUUCUUUAAGGGUUGGGAUCUUGAUUUCCCAUUUUUCCGUAUCCCAUGCUGGAUCAAUUUCUGGCAACUUGUAGUCAUCCGGUCUCAAGGAUAACGAAAACUCUGGGAGAUCUGGCAAUGACUGGAGUGACCUGCAUUAUCAAAGAGAAUUCAUUACUUAGUAAUCUUAGCUAGAGUUCAUCUUAAAAAAAGAAGCUAAAUAACUCUGACUAAUGAUUGACUGAAACUGUCAGUCUUCAUACUUCUCUUGUUCUAGCAGGUAACCAUACAUCUGAGACUUCCGCAAUGCAACUUCAGGAAUUUUCUCAUGCAAGUGCUUCAUUACACCCCAUAUUGGAGGAACCCUGGAAUAAAAAAAAAAGGGAAAUUAUUGCAUCUCAUUAUAAUGAAUGCACGUGUCUGAACCAAAUUGUUAUACGCGUAAUGGUGAGGGAAUUUGGAUUAAAACCUGCUCACUGGGCCUGCUAGGCAAAAGCUAAGGCAGGCUUUCUUGCCAUCUGUGAGAAGCUCGUUCGCAGCAAGAAAACAACAUACGGCAUUAAUAUGACUGGAUGGCGCUUUUCCCUUGUCAAGGAUUAGACCAUGAUAGUAAUAUGCUGCUGCCUAUUGAUUUUAAUAAAGAAAAAAGGAAUUAUACUCUGCAUUUUAAAAUAACUGAAUGCAGUCAAGUGGUGAAAAAAAAUGAUUCAUACUGCCCACUACGAGUAAAAAAAAUGAAGAAAACAGAAGAAGAACUAUUAUGUAAAUAACAUCGACUGUAAACCUUUGCUUCUAGAUACUUCCAUUUGAUGAACAUGAGAUGCUUCUUUCCACAAUUAUGAGUCAUAUUACAUCCUGAUAAGCAGUAAUGAGCCUGAUCAUAGAAAAGGAAAAAGUUAAAGACUUAAGAAAGCAAAAAAGAUUGUUCUAUAAAGACUCAUGCACAAGAGUAUGAGUCACUUAAGCAUGAAUCUUUUUACGACAUUAAAUAUGAUAUUUGAUCUGACCCGAAAGCCAAAAUAUUUUAUAGUUUGGAAACAAGCAACAGAGUAAAUUACUAAAGCAGAACUAUAAUCUGUAGGUUCAUUGUGUAAGAAAAUAAUAUUUUCGGUGUUGAAAUUCAAAAGAGACCACUACUUGUGCGUUAACACAUUGAUAGAGAAUACAUAUACCUACGUGAUUUGGGUCUUACAUGAUUACAACUAGCAACUAGCUUUGGUAAACUGUCUGUUUUAUAUAUCUGUAAUACCCGGUAUUUUGAUAGGCUUGUGCUUAAUAGAAAUUGGAUUUUAAUUUGGACUUCUUUGACUAUAUAAAUAGGUUUUAUAUAUGAGAUUAGUAUUAUGCAUUUGGGCUUUAUUUUAAACUCAUCUUUAGGUCCACAUAAAUAAAUAUUAGUAUAUAUAAUAUUCUUAGUUAUUAGAUCAAGAAGGAAAAACCCUAGAUCUUAAACUUGAAGAGAAAUAUAUGUAUUCCCGUUUUUGUUAACACCCUGUUAGUAUUUCGCCCAUAACUUUCUCUACAGAACUCGGAAUGACAUGAAUCUUACGUCAUUAGAACCCUAUUGAAAAUACACAUCUGAGCAUAUAAAGUAGAGUAUGUGAAUCUUCCGGACGUGACCUGUACAACUGAUUCUUUGGAGGUCAGAAAAUCUGUGACUGGAUUGCAGUAUGGUGGUUUUGAGUUGUGUUUUUCGUAUAUUUGAGGUUUGGUGGUCUUCUUAUGAGGCAAGUUAUAUUACUUGAUGUUUUCUCUUAAUUUUCAGAUUAGGUUGAAGUGUUAGUUUGGUUAGCAUGUUUAGAAAAUAGAAUUAUAAUUGAUUCCCAUAAAAAUACAUGUUUUAAUAAUUAGAAUUUGAUAAAUAUGCAAACUUGUUAAUAUUUAGUUAUUAAUAUUGCUGAAAUUUAUAUUUUAAAAUAUGUUAUUAUUGGAUUUGAAUAUUUGACUUGGUAUUGUAAUGUUUAAUUGAACCCAUUUAGGGGUGUUAUUCGAGCCGAGCGAGCCGAGCUUUGAAUGCUCAUACUCGGCUCGUUUUAAUACGAGCCGAGCCCAAUUUCUGAAUCGAGCCUGGUUUUAUGUUCAAGCUCGGCUCGCGAGCUAUUUAUCAAGCUCGAGCUCGAGCUCGUUAGGCUCGUUUAGCUCGAGCCGAGCUCGAGCCCUCCAACUUGUUUAGCUCGAAUCAAGCUCGAACCCUCCAAGCUCGUUUAGGCUCGAGCUGAUCAAGAACAGAACAGAACAAGAUCUGUUGAUCUUUUUAAACACGUGCAGCGGCAGCAACAGGUGCAGCAGAAGCGGCAGCAGAAGAGGCAGCACCACCAAGGAAUGAAAGCAAACCAGUUCCAACAGAAGGUUCUUGAACUUUAUCAAGAAACAAAUCUUCAGGAACUUUAAAUGAACCAUGACAGAAAACAAUUGCUAAACCAACCAUAACACCUGAGAUUAAAAUAGAUCCAACACUUGUUAAGAAAAUAACAACAAUUGAAAGAAAAAUUAAACCACCAAGUGUUUCACGAUCUGUGAAAUUCCGACCAAAGAUAACCAAAGGAGAAUCAGAUGGACGGAAAAGAUAAAGAAAAAUCCAAGAAGAAAGUAAAGCAAGAAGAAAAAAAAGAGAAACAGGGUGAGUAACAAGAGAGAUAGCAAGAACAGAUGCUAAUUGGUGGUUGAGAUUGAUUGGUAGUUGUUGUUGUUGAUGAUAUUGGUGCCUGGGGAUUUGAAACUGGAAGAACAGGUGGUGAUGAAGACGCCAUUGUUUGAGAGAGAGAGAGAGAGAUUUGGGGAAAAAAUAGAAGAAAGAAGGAUAUAUAGUGGGGGUAGGAUAGGAAUAACAGAUAUUAGUGGGGUAGGAUGGAUAAUAUAACUUAACUAUAUAUAAACUCGAGCUACUCGGCUCGGCUCGAAUAAAGCUCGGGCUCGGCUCGAGCUCGAGACGAGCCUAAAAUCUGCUCAAGCUCGGCUCGUUUUACAAGAUGAGCGAGCCCGAGCCGAGCUUUUUUCGAGCCGAACACGAGCCGAGCUCGAGCUGCUCAGCUCACAUAACACCCCUAAACCCAUUGGUUAUGGACUUUCUUACUUUAGAAAUUCCUGAACUUGACAUCAUACACGUUUUUGUUGUUUCGUCAUAUAUAUAUUUAUAUGGACAAUGAUUGGAAUAGAAUGGUUGGAUUGAACCAUAUGUUGGAUUAGAUUUGGGCGUGUUAAACAAAUUAACACCGGACCCGUAUGAUGGGGAGACGUCCCGGAGUGUUGUCACAUGACAUAACUCAAUGAGUGUAUGGCGUGAAGCGUAUGACUCGGUGCUACUGCACAACUUUAUAUUUGAAUUUCAUGUGAGUGUAUGGCGUGAAGCGUACGACUCGGUGCUACUGCACAACUUUAUAUUUGAAUUUCAUGUGAGUGUAUGGCGUGAAGCGUACGACUCGGUGCUACUGCACAACUUUAUAUAUGAAUUUCAUGUGAGUGUAUGGCGAUGAUGCGUACGACUCGGUGCUACUGCACAACUUUAUAUAUGAAUUUCAUGGAUUGAAAUUGAUGGAUUUGGAUUGAUAUAAUAUGAUGGAUUGGAAUUACUGGAUAAGGGCUUGAUCUGAUAUUGCAGACUGAUUAAUUGAUUGAUUGAUUGAUUAAUUGAAAUAGAUUUUGAUUAUUUGAUUAUUGGAACUGGAAAUAUGAUUGACAUUGCGGAUUACCAGAGAAUGAUCUUGUUGAUUUAUUGAUCACUGUGUUAAAUGUUAAAAUAAAUUAAUUAUUAUUUAUAAUUGUUCAUCUUUAGGAUGCGCGGAUUCCUUUUCUGGGAAUUAAGAUCGAACCUCAAGUUCUGUAACUUGCUGGCGUUUAACGUCUUCCCUUUUCCCUUUUCAGGAUACAAGUGUUUUAGAGAUGAAGUAUUCGAUAAGAGCUUGGUGGAGGUUGUCUUGAGUUGCUCAUAUGUCUAGUUGGAGUUUGAUGAGUUGUAACCUUCGGGCAUGACUCUGAUGUAUAUUUAUAUAGUUUGUAUUUUGUUUAGUCUUCCGCUGUUAAUUUAGUAUUUGUUGUUUAUUUUAUUAUGUUCUUCUGUGGUCUAAAAGUGUGAUAUCACGUGACAGUAGUGUGACCCUACGGUCCAUGGAGGACAUAUGGAGAUCAUUAUGACUCUAUUGCCCGAUUUUGGCUUGGCCAGCUAGGAUCGGAUUUCAGGGGCGUUACAGUUGGUAUCAGAGCCGACGACGGGUCGCCUGUUGCAGGUGGGAAGUACGCUGGAAGGGCCGGAGGAGCGCCAGGUACUUGUCUCACUUGGCAGGGAACGUCGGAGAUUUUGGGACUGUACUGAGUGUACUGCAGAGCCGAGGACGGCUCUAUUUCUAAGGUGGUGAGAUUGUAACACCCAUGAGUUGGUGUUAGUCCCACAUUGCCAAGGAAGUGGUUGUAUUGGUAGUAUAUAGAGCUUAACCAUACUCUAACUAAUGUCAAGGCCUUUUGGGGUAAACCACAUGGGUGGGCCCUGAUCCAAAACCCUCUACUGCUGGAUAUCCGCAGUGACUAAAGGGGGACAAUAUUGACAUUAGCGAGCGGUAUGGUGCUCGACGCACUGGGAUGAGCGAGGACGAAAUCCCGGGGCGUUACAAAAUAAUAUUUUCGGAUGAGCGAGGACGAAAUCCCGGGGCGUUACAAAAUAAUAUUUUCGGUGUUGAAAUUCAAAAGAGACCACUACUUGUGCGUUAACACAUUGAUAGAGAAUACAUAUACCUACGUGAUUUGGGUCUUACAUGAUUACAACUAGCAACUAGCUUUGGUAAACUGUCUGUUUUAUAUAUCCGUCACUCCAAUAGAGCAAAAUGGUUACAAAUAGCGAGCAAUAAUGAAUCUACAUUUGAUAGGAAACUAAGUAUAGCCCCUAAAUUAUGUAUCCUCAUUUUCAUGGACAGAAAGGACAUGUUUCUGUAUAUCUUUUCAUAUUAGAAAAAAAAAUGAAUUUAUAUACAAUUAACUGUUCCAUGGUUACCAAAAAAUUAUCUCGUUAACAAAAGAUUUAUUGUCAUGUAAUUCAGAACACGAUCUUCUACAUUACAUGAACUACUACAAAGUAAAUAUAAAGUCCUACAUAAGGAAACAGUAUUGACAAAUGCUAACGACAACAAGGUAGAAUCCGAAAGAAAACCCUUGUUCAGGUAAAAAAGAACGAGGAUAGUUUUCGAUAUAGAUUGCAACUUACUGCAGGUAGCAGGUUACUUAGUUACUAACCUGAGCAAAAUAACUCAGUUGUUCACAUGCCAACCUCCUUUUCACCGAUAAUGAUGCAUUUUGACUUUCAACAGCCAAACCUAGCUGCAUUUCUGUUCCCUAAAAUAAUUCAUUUAAAAACAUCAGAAUAACAUUGGAAGCCGAAGAAAAGAAAACUGCGAUGACAGAUUAUUAGGCUGCAUUUGGCCUUAGUGAAACCAAAUUAAAGUGUUGAACAACCUUGAUUCAGAAAUGGAAUUACACUCUAUCACAGUGAUAAUAAGAAUCCAGAAUCCAGACAUCAAUAUACCCUUGAAUUCAAAAAAGGCAAUGAUCAAAAGAUAAAUAAUGCCAAAUGGCGGGGCCUUCAUUUAAUAAAUCAUCAGCGCGUUGUAGUUGCUAACUUCUACCAUUCUACUUGUUAGUCCCUAUAUUUUUUUUUUACUAGAUUCAAAAUGGAUCAGAAUGAGGCACAAUGUUUCGGUAGGUGGUAUGACCAGAAAACUCAAAGAAGACAAGUAGAAUGGAGCACUUGCGUUAUGAGUUUAAUUCUCUGUGAUAUUGUCUCUGCAUAAUGGUAUUCCUUCCUGAUCAGAAAAUUGGUAGAUAUAUUCUGACACCCAAAUAUUCCUCAAUGACAAUGAAGAUUGAACAGUAUAGCAUCCAUUUAAGUGUUGGAAAGGAAAAUGUGAAAUGGACUAAUGUGAAUGAGAAAAGGAAAAAGUUUGUUAUGAGUUGACGACGACUUGCUACAAUUUCUCAAUUUCAAAAAUAUGUAUGGCAUAUUGGAUAUCUAUAGUUAGGAACAUUAUCUUGCUCAGAUCAGAAUACAACUAUACACGUUUAGUGAACAUUUUUCCCCCAAGUAACAUUAAAAUCUUAUAUCUGUUUCUUAAUUAAUAUGACGAAUUGAAUCAACACCCUUGACUCUACAACGACACUGAAAAAAGAAUUCCAUGUAGUAAAGAGGAAGUACCUGGCCAAGUAUCUGUAUAGAAAGAGCCUCCAAAACACCCUCCUGGAAAUCAUUCGGUAAUUUCGUCCUAGGAAUAUAAUUUUCAAUUCCAAUCAUUUAGAACAUAAAGAACCUAAUGAAACCAAAAAGGCUGUAACAUACUUGAUAUCUGGUGGGAGAUGGAUCAGUACAUCCCGAACACAGAAUUCCAAAUAACCUGCUGCCUUUAUCAAUAGGUCAAUAGCAUCCUUCUUACAUUCUGACAAAUUUAUAGCUCAAAAGAUUAAGACACAAAGUUUGGACUUCCUCAAAAUAUUAAUCAAAUUAAACAUCGGUAUCUAAAUGAAGACGCAAAGAAAUUGUAAUGACUUACCCUCAGAUACAGUUCUUUCGCUUGCAUCCAUGGGAUCCUUAGGAAGAAGUAAUGAGUUAGCUUCGGAGAGUGCCAGAAUAGCCAUCAUAUAUACUACAGACAGCACUUCAAACCAUGAGCUUGCUAUACAAGUUUCCUGUUUACCAGAUUCAAAUUCUACAAUCAGAUGGAUGAAACAAAUGAAAAUAAAAGUUGACAAUGCAUUCUAGGUGAUCAGUAAAAAGUCUUACUUGUCGUGUUUCUUCCAAUAAUUUCCACUUGAAUUCCACCUUGUCUUCAACUCCAUAUUCUGUUCAAAAUCCAACAACGUAAUCGAUAUAAAGUAUAAAACGUAAUACAAGUGUUCUCUUUACUAAGCUAAGGUGAGGGGUAAAACCUUUUUUAGUUAAUCCAAGAACAAGAGACAAGUAUUGUUCAAGAGCUCCAUUUAGUUCAGUAUAAGCAGUACCACCUGCAAGAUUACUUCUACUAUUAAAGACAACAAAAAACACAAAGAACUUAGAUUAGUUCAAAUUGGACUAUGGAAGCAUACCUGUACACUCAGCAACUAACAUAAUUUGACUCCUAAUUGCCGAUAGUUUAUCGAUGAGAUCACGAGGAAUUAGACCUUUAAGUGCUCUUUGAACAUCAAAAUCAAAUGGAAUUCUCAUUGUUGGAACGAAAACCACGACUUCGGGUAUACUUAACUUCUUCUUCUUUCCUACAUUGUAAAUUUUCUUGGAGACAGAAGAAGAAGUACAUCCCAUUUUUCGCCAAAGGGUAAUGUUCCAAACUGAGCAUGCUAAAGCAAUCAAGAAUUAUAAAUGUGAGACCAAUGUAAUAACAAAUGAAUAAGAAAUCUAAGAGAAGAGAGAAACAGAGAGAUUACAGUUGUGAAAGAGAGAUGGGCAGGUUGGUAGUAUUUAUAUUAUACAUACAUACAGUAUUAGAAGAAGAAGAUGAGAGAAUGAAGGAGCACUUGAACCAAGAAGAUUUCACAUGGGCAUGGCGAGGAUGAAGGGAUAUUACACCUCUAAUGCCAAUGUGCUUGGAUUUCGUAGAAAGAUCAUUAAUUGAACAAGAAGAGAAGUAAGAAAAAAGAUUAAAAAUAUGUCAAGUAGAGAGUAUACAGAUCACUUGGGCAAAAUGAUCAAGAUCUUAAACCCUUUAUUAUAUUGAGAUAAAUUAUAAGUGAUUAUUAUCUGUGAAUCCCACAUUGGUUGGGAUUUCUUUAAAGAGAUCACUUAAGAAGGUUUUGGAUCUAGGUGAAAAUUAUUGGAAAAUUUAAAACUUCCAAAGUCAAUACCCUAUAGAACAGAGUUUCUGAAUGUCAAACAUUUUUGACUCGUUGAACUACAUUUUGGAUUUAGGGUCGAGACUUGGGACCAAGUACCCAACCAUUAUGGCCCUGCUUGGUUACCCCGCAAAAAUUUGCAUGAAAUUUAGCCUAAUUUAAAGCAUCUCUAAUGCACGGUCUAAAUUUAGCAUGCCACAUAAGUGACACAUCAACAUUUAUAGCAUUUUCUAAGAUUUUGUAACCUUCUAAAUUUAGAACUUUUAUUUCAAGACUAAUGCACAUAAACUUUGUAACCUUCUAUUGAUGUAAAAAAAAUAAAACAAAUGUGGAAGAAAGAGACUAUUGAUGUAUUUUUCAAAAAAUAUAAUAAAGAAAUCAUUUGUUAGAGAUAGAAGGUUGUAUAUUUUGUUCCAAAAUGAACCAUGCUUAUAGCAGAUGUAUUUAUAGCAUGAGUUAUAACAUAUGCAUUAGGGACAAAAUUAUAGAAAAAAUUAGGGGGAUUUAGAGAUACCCCCCAAAAUAAUAGGAACUCUUUGAGAUACCCCCAGAUUUAAAAAUCAUUAGAGAUACCCCCCAGAUUUUCAUUUUAAGCCGGUCAACCAAGCCAUUGACCAAUAUAACUUUUAUAUUGACAAAAAUACCCUUCUCAAUUGAAGUUAUAUCCUAGUCAUCCAACCCAAUUACCAUGUAUGCCAUAUCAUGUAAACUUAGAUCUAAUCCUAACUAUUCAAUAAGAUAAAACCCUCAAAUCUAAUCCUAUGGUUAGAAACCAAUAUUUUUUUUCUCCAACUCUUCUUCCUUCUUCUCAACCACCAAUUCCUCCACCACCACUAUUAAAACCACCAAUUCCUCCACCAAACUACUAAAUCUUCUCUCUCCUCUUCUACUCAUAAAUCACCCCAUACAACCACAACCACCACCACCACAACCACCAAUUCCUCCACCACCACUAUUAAAACCACCAAUUCCUCCACCAAACUACUAGAUUUUCUCUCUCCUCUUCUACUAAUAAAUCACCCCAUACAACCACAACCACCAAUUCCUCCACCACCACCACUAAUAAACUACCAAUUUCUCCACCCCCACUAAUAAACUACCAAUUUCUCCACCCCCACUACUAAAUAUUCUCUCUAAUCUUUUUCUCACACAAAAAAAUCUUCUCUCUCUUAUUCUCAUAAAUCACCCCACAACCACCAAUACCUCCACCACCACUACUAAAUCUUCUUUCUCCUUUUUUUCUCACACAAACAAUUUUUUUCUCUUCUUUUGUACUCGUAAAUCACCCAACACAACUACAAAAACCACCAAUUUCUCCACCACCACUACUAAGUCCACUAAUUUCUCCACCACCACUAUUAAAGUUCUUGGAUUAAUGGGGUAUGGGUGUGGUUAGGAUCAAUGGGUUUGAAUUACAUGAGAUGGACGGUUAUGAUUUAAUGGGGUAUGGGUGUUGGAUGUGAGUAAAAUUUGUUUAUGUUAAAGGUUUUGCUGACAUGGCAUACAAGUAGAUGACUAGGAUUAAAGUUCAAAUAAAAGAAGGGUAUUUUUGUCUAAAGAACAUAAAGAUGGGUCAAACAUAGGUCAAUGGCUCGGUUGACCGGCUUGAAAUGAAAAUCUGGGGGGUAUCUCUAAUGAUUUUUAAAUCUGGGGGGUAUCUCAAAGAGUUCCUAUUAUUUUGGGGGGUAUCUCUAAAUCCCCCAAAAAAUUAUUUUUAGACUGUGCAUUAGAAAUUGAAACUCUUGAUAAAUAAUUAGUUUUAUGAACAAAAUUUAUGCAAAAGUUUGGUGCUAUUUCAAAAGUGCAAAUUUUUUACACCUUUCUCUAAUAAACUUAGUAGGGGACCAUUUAUGAUUAUCUCAUGUUUAUGCAAAGUUUAAGUGGGGAACCAAUAGGGUUUAAGUUAAAACAGGUGGGGUCCAUUCAAAUCAAAGAGUAAACUUGGGAGGGACCACUCUAACUAUAGAUGGGUAAAGAUUUGCCUUUUUUGCAGCCCAAACAAACAGAGCUUAUAAUGCAAAAAGUUGAACCCAUACCCAUAAAAAAAACCAGUGAUUAGAUUAGCCAUCCCAAAAUGUAAUGGGCAUUAUCAAUUAGUCCCGUCAAACUAUCUCAUUAAUAAUUAGUCCUUUUUUUUGACCAAAAGUUAGUUUACAAUAAUACCCUCUAUUACUAGUAUUUAAAGUUUAAAAUUGCUAUUAGAAUUGAAAACCGCCAAGUUAGUGGUAGUGUAACAAGUGGAAUUACUAUCAAGAAUUGCUAUCAAAAAUUGAAACCGCACAAUAGUGAUAUUGCAACUUAGUGAUAUUGCAACUUAGUGGAAUUGCUAUUACAAUUUUUUAGAAUUACAUAAUUAAAAGUUAGCAAUUCUUAGAAUUGCACAUAUAAAUAAUUAGCAAAUUUUUAGAAUUGCACGUGAAGUUAGCAAUUAUUUAGAAUUAUAAAGAAAGUUUGUAUGUUUUAAUAAAAACUAUAACCUAUGUAUGGGUGUAAUUAACCCUAGUGGAUUUGAAUUAAUUACCCAACUAAUUUAUAAAUACCCAAUCACAAAAUACCACAUGUCAAUAAUUAAAUAUAACCUAUGUAUGAGUGUAGUUAACCCUAGUAGACUUAAAUUAGUUACCCAAUCCAAGUAGCAAUUUUUUAGAAUUGCAAGUGUCAAUGAUUAGCAAUUUUUUGGAAUUGCGUAGUUAAAUAGUUAGCAAUUUUUUGAAUUGCAAGUGUUAAUGAUUAGCAAUUUUUUGGGAUUGCAUAGUUAGAUAGUUAACAAUAUUUUAGAAUUGCAUAGUUAGAUAGUUAAAUAAAAAAACGGUUAAAAACGAUUUAAAAGGAUAGUAUUGUCAUUUAAAAAUAUAAAUCUGAAAGUUUUAGUUUAGGAUAAAUUAAGUCAAGGAUUGGUUAAUAACUUUUCCAAAGAAAAAAGAUCUGAGAUUAAGUAAUAUUAGAAAGUGGGACUAAUCAUUAAAGCCAAAGUCAAACAGGACUAAUCCAUAAGUAGGGUGGGCUAAAUGGGAUCUAGGACUCAUUCUUUGUAAAAAAAACAAAACUAUACACUACCUAUUGCCAUACACAUCUUCCUUUACGAGGGUUUUUUUUUUUUAAUAAAAAACUAUUUUAUUGAUAAACUCAAAGAAUUAUACAAAAGUAGAGGACAAACGCAUUACAAACUGUGUUGUAAGUCCUUUCUGAAUAGCAAACUGAUUCUCCUAAGUAAUAAUACAUAUUCGUUCGAACCCGUAGUCAUCAUAUUGCUAUCCAAUUCGACCCCAUAGUCAUCAUGUUAUUGUCCAUUACCUUCUGCACUCUCCUGAGCCUAUCCCUACUUUUUUUUCUAAAAGAAAAACUAUUUAUUGAUAAGCACAAAGAAUUACACAAAAGCAGAAGACAAUCGCGCUACAUAAGCCUUUUUUUUUUUUUAUUGGCAAGAGGGGUUGAGGGGACCCCUACCCCUUUAAAUUACGCGUGGAAACUUAAAUCAACAAUCACUUGUUGAUGGCGUGUUUCGAACCCACAACCUCUAUCAUUGAGCCACAGGCUCAUUCGCAGAAAAAAAUGGUUUGGUAAACCUGUUUUUCAUGAGAUUAGUAACUCAGUAAUACUAGCGGGAUUCGAAUCCAGACCUCUGGUAUCAUCACCCAAGGUUUUACCAGUUAAGCCCAACUGGCACCUGCUAGGGGUCUGUUUGAUUAAGCUUGGUAAAACAAUAGAAUGCUAAUUGCUAAGGUGGGUACUACUCACCGUCACCUUAGAAUUUUCUAGGUUGUAUGGAUUUUUCUUUCUAACAUUGAAAUAAUCUUGGGCCUAGCACAGGCUCCCGUCUGGUAUAUAUAUACAUACAGCGCAAGUAGGUAGGCCGGUUCAUCCUAGUGAAGUGCUACUGAUGCUAUACCUUGAUGAUAGUUAGGCCUAUAAGACAUGAUAGGGAAUGCACCUACUAAGGAAGAGAACAGUUUAAAUGCCUCGUAUAGAUAAACAGGUGGACUGUGGACCUGAAUUAGGAAUAAAGGAACGGCUUGGAUAUGUUGUGUGGACUGUGGACCUGAACUACAAACAGAUGCACACUUGACACGUUCAUUUAUUCAUGUAGAUAAAAGAACCUGUUAUCCUCAUGACGAGGCAGAGCAUAUAGAGGUAUAUAUGCCUUCAAAGUUUAGUUCAUCAUCAUCUUACAUUCAGUGAAGAAGAAGAUUGGAAUGUUUAUGUUUUGACCUUGCUUAAGUCAGUUUGCCCUUUUGGAGGGAACCCAGAAUUUUCUUUUUAUGGAGAAAGCAUUGACUUAAUCAGUGUGUGGAACCGAGGAUAUGAAAUCAAAUCUAAAUUUUGCCAUGGAAUUAUCAUUUUAGACUCCAUGCACACUUGUACCAGGGUCAAAAUAUUUCCCGGAAAAAAAAAAAAAAAAAAAAAAGACAUCUAAAAAUUAUGAAAAGCAAAAAUGUCACAAUAAUUAGGGAUAUCCAUAAAUUUUGACCAUUACAAGUUGCCAAUGCAUAUGAGAUUUAGACUUCAUCAUCACGUCCUUUCGACACAUCAAAAGCACAACCUGCAUGUAUGACAACAUCUGCAAAAACAUGAGAAUAUAUUCUGCGUGAUGGGCACCUGUAAAAUGGAUUGAAAGUCAGAAUGGAAGGUCCAUGAAAAAGGAAAUAUGGAUGAGGCAUGCAAAUGGAUAUGAACCCUGCAUUUUCUGCUAUAUAAAGAGUUAUCCAACCAAAGCAAUAGCAUUCAAGAUUGAAAGAACAAUGUGUUAUAUGAAGAAGGAUCUUACAUGAAGAUAAGAGUCUUGUUUGAUAGCCAAGGAUGACUUGCCUACAUCCUCCAAGAGGUUUCAAUUACUCUCAUGUUAACGAAAUCUCUAUGUCGUUAUAGGCAAUCACCUUGGCUAGUCUGAAUGACUCUUGUUCUCAUGCUAGAUUCAUUCUUCUUUUCUUCAAGCUAUACUCACUCAAUCUACAUAUGUAAGGUAAGAUUAUGUGUAUUUCGUCUGCUGUAAUUACUACUAUAUAUAUUUAUCUUGGUAGAUACAUAUAUAGGUUUUUUUUGGACCACGAAAAUGAGAAAUGUCAUCGUCAAAUAAUUUGCCAUACCGUAUUUAUGAAAUUUCCAUUAUGCAUUAAUUAGUUCCUUUCAAUCUCACAGUACUCUUAUCAAUAUACACCAUUUUGAAGCACAAAAAUGUAUGAGAAAUGACAUCGUCAUUUGAGAAACAAAAGCUGCUUUAGCAUAUUUACCAAAUUUUCAUAUGAAUUUGCUUGUAUCAGUGUUUUGGUAUCCUAUGCGCUGCUACAUAUCAGGAUGGAUAAAGGAGUCAAUGUUUUACAACAAACAACAUAGGUUCUACGUACUACUUGAAAGUGAUUAUCUGACCAACCCUAUCGAAGUCGAGGUCGAUCUUUUGCAUGAAAAGUGAAAACGUACCAAAAAGGCAAAUGUCGUAAACUUGUCUAUCUUGCUCACAGCCCUCAUUCCGUCACUCUUCUCUUCUUCUUUCUCUAGCUUCUCUGCAACAUAACCCAUUUUCCCACUAGAACUAGUAAAUCAAAACUUACUGUUCAGUUAAGUGGGCUGGAUCCAUCACCUAUACUAUAUUUGGGCCCAAGCCUUUUUCUUAUGGAUUCUCACUUCAGGUCCGGCCCUUUCAACCUACUACUCUACUAAGCUGCCCUGGUCUCGUUUUUCUGCAAAUUGAUUAGAUCGAAAUCGAGCGAAACCAUGGCGAUUUCCAAGGAAAACUUUCUCCUUGUUGUUGUAGCUCUUAUGUUGAUUUCAUGUUCAACCUUGUCAUUAGCGAUCUCAGAUGUAGGUCCUUUCGUUGUUGUACACAAGAAAGUCAGUUUGAACAGACUGAAAUCAUCUGGAUCUGAACAAGUUUCUGUAUCUAUUGAUAUCUAUAAUCAAGGAUCUGCGUACGUAUAUCUCUUUAUCAGAUCUAUUUGAUUAUUUGUAGAAUUGUUUGUUAUUUUUCUUGAAAUUAUGGAAAAUUUCAUUUCAUUUUGCGUUAUUUAUGAUUUGGGGGAAUUUUUUUCAAAAUUGAUUCUUUAUUUGUAUUGAUUUAUGGAAAUUUUAGAGUUUUUGAUCGGAUAUUACACCAUUAUUAUCAUAAUUGCCACCAAUAAUAAUAAUAACUCUGUAAAGUUGCUAGCAUUACUGCCAAAUCACAAGUUUACAACUAUGGUUUAUGGCUAUUCUGCUAGAUACCUUUAAGAGUUUGCGUGUUUAUGACGUUAUUAUUUAUUAUUGAAAGUCGUAGUUUCUAUAUUGAAAUAUGGUGCUUGCCUUUUGGAUGAGGUCCUUUUGCCAAUUGUUUAGGUUUGAGAGGAGCAUGAGAUUGGUUACGUUUUAACACUUAAAUCUAAUUACCAGAAAUGUUGUUCAAAGACACUUAUUUCCAGCUCUCAACUUUAAAAUAAUACUACUAUUCCGACGUGGGUAUUUCAGCAACUGUGAGAAAAUUUCAAUGCCAUUUCUUAAAGUUGAACACGCCCUUAAAAUAUUUGAGGUGUCUUUCUUUGGUUUUGGUACACUGAUGAGUGUUGAUUUCCGCCAAGAAAAAAUAUUUGUUUGGCAGAGAAAGUGUUUCUUUUUCCUACCUGAUUAAAAUAAAUCAUUUCCUCGUUUUGUUUUACAACAGGUUUGCCAAUUCGUCAAGUUGCUCUGCAUCUUCAAAUCAAAUGUUCUAAGUUGUUUAUUUCAAUUUUUUAGAACUUUGACUAAUAGUGACAAACAUCUAAUUAGUAAUUUCUUUAGAUCAUCUAUACUGAAAAGUUCUGUCCUUAUAAGUUAAUUGAAAGAUCCUAAUUUCGCAAGUCCAAAUUUUUUUUUUUUUUUUGAAGGUAGUAAUUUAGGUGAAAUAUAGGGCAUAUAAUAUUUCAUUUCACAGUAUGACUCUAUAACUUGUAAAAUGGCUGUCUAGAAAAUUACUCGAAGUAGAGGUACCAAUGUAGCAUAAUAUACAUGUUGAACAUAACAUUUGUUUAGGUGUUCUUUAGAAAAUACAUUAUGUGUGCAGUACACUGUCUUCCAUGCACAGUUGUGCGCUCACACGAACAUAGUUGCAUCGUCGAAUAUAUACAUCAUUUGUAAAAUCUGUGAGCAGAAAUAUCUCUCUUGUUUAUUGUAAUGUGUUACUCGUAUAGGUUUUACGAGUCAGCUCAUUAUGAGCUAUAUAAUGGAAGCAGGCAUUCCAGACAAUCUUUAUUAUAAUUCCUUCUGAGAAAUGCCCUCCUUCAUGUUUGUGAAUUUAUUUGAUUGUUUAAGCCCUUUAGGAUCUAAUCAUAUAACUUUAUAUAAUGAUAAAUUUAGGCACCUAGCAUGAUUUAGAUUCUAUCUAACUAAGGUUUUGGACUACCACAUUAAAAGAUGUCAAAGUUUUACAAGUGAAGUAGGGAAUCUCUCAUGGUUAUUUGCAUAUCAUUCAUUGACAUUUCCACUAAGGUAAGUUUGAGUAAUCUGUUUGUUAAAAAUCCAGGACUGCAUAUGAUGUAACUCUUACUGAUGAUAGCUGGACUCCGGAUGUAUUUAAUCUUGUCAGCGGCAAUGUUACCACAUCAUGGGAGAGGCUUGAUGCGUAGGUUUCACUAUUCCCUUAGCGUCCAAUCCCUCAUGUUUAUCUUUCAAUAUGUUUAUUACUAACUCAAAAAUUUAUGUACAUAAUUUGUAGAGGAUCUCUUGUUUCUCAUUCAUUUGUUCUGGAGUCCCAAGUUAAAGGCUUAUUUUAUGGGGCACCUGCUGUCGUCAAAUUUCGCAUUCCUACAAAAGCAGCUCUGCAGGUACUAAUCUCAGCAAAAAUUUGUUUGAGCUGGAUUUAGUUUCAGUAAGAAAAUAUAGUAACAUUGAUUACUUUCCUUGUGUUAGGAGGCUUAUUCAACCCCGAUCCUGCCUUUGGAUAUACUAGCAGACAGAGCUCCAGAGAAGAAGUUUGAGUGGGUAAGUUCAGAAAAUAGCUAGAGAAACCUUUAAGUUGUGUUUACAUUCAUGGUUUUCUUUUUAGACUGAUAAGCGUUUCUUUGUUUCUUUUCUCGGCUACUUUUUCCCACGAUAUCUUCUUCGGUGGCAAAAUCUUUUAUCAGGCAAAGGUGAGAACCAUUCGAAAAAUUUCCUUCAUUUUCAUUCAUGUAUGGAAUUAAGAAGCAAUCUUCACUAAUCUGCUCAUAAUCAGCAGUUCACUAAUCUGCUUGUGACUUGAAACUUGGAUCCUAUUUGUAGAGUAAUAAUGGGAUAUCAAGCUAAUCCGUUACUUUGAAUCAUGUUAUUGUUGACUGUUUCUCAACAUUUCUUGAUCACACAAGGCUGUGCCCAUUGAAAUUUGGGUAUCCUUUUUGAUGGACUUGUUGGGAUAGCAAGUGGGAUGGCUUCUUUUGUCACUGACAUGAAUUUCUAUUUUGGAACUCUGCAUUUGCGUUGUUUCUUACAUACCGUCCUAAAAUGCAGAAAUUGUUGGCAAAAUAUGGAUCGCUUGUUUCAGUGGUCACCAUAGUGGUUCUCUUCAUGUAUCUCGUUGCUAGCCCAUCCAAAUCCAGUGCUGCAAAGGGAAGCAAGAAAAGGCGUUGAGCUAUUGUAAUGACCAUCCAGUUCCUACUGAGAUUUUGUAAUGGUAGAAUACAACUUUUAACUCUUCUUCUUUGUUUUCUUUUCUUAAAUUUACUGUAGAAUAUCAUUUCAAUACUUACUGGUAGUUUUUAAGGAGCGUUCCUUGUGAAAUGUGGAGUUUGUUGUAUUAUUUUUCUUGCUUAUUUGUUCAAUGUUCGUGAUGGACACGAGUGCUUUUGACCGGUCAAACCUGAGUAAAUCCAUCUUAAUUGUUAUCCUCUUAUCUAUAGAAUGGCUGCUUUUCGCUUGGUAGGACAUUUGUUAUGCUUUGUUUUGCAAAAGAGUGAAAAGACAGUUAUGGAUCGAGCGCAAUGGAGCUAGAGCCCUGAUAUUUUACAUUUCACGUGAGUUCAGUCACUGCAAAAUAAUACUACUUGAAAGAUGUACUACACUGCAUACACUCCAAGUGAACCUCUAGUUGUUGUGAUACAAAGCCACCUCUGAUUACCAAUUAGUAGUUCGGACAGGUUCAAAAUGGUGUACCAAACCUAGUUUUAAAUUUUCUAGCUCAGGUGCUGCUUGAGUUAAACAAUUUAUCAGACCAACUUACCCAGAACAAGUGUUCUGAACUGUAGAAUUCUCAAGUCUCCUGUUCAUGGCAGUUUAGCAUUAACCAAUAGAAAUCAUUGAAUGUUAAGACUGUUUGUUGAGAUUUUACUUUUAAAUGUUAGAAACCCAAGCCACUAGCUCUCUCUCUGGUUUCAUUUUUCUAGGUCACCUUCUGAUCACUGAUCUGUCGUUGUUUGAGGUCCUUGAUUAGGACUUGCAGAAAAGAAAACAAAUGACAAACUGUAGUGACAGUAAGAUAAGAAUUCAAAUUGAAAAUUUUUGCUACGUCAAGAUCAGGUGGUAGGAGUACCACUACCCAAGCAUCACAUUAAGUACAAAAGGGCUACAUGAUAUAUCAGAGUAGCAGACGAAGACAAGGAGAAUGGCACCUUAUUGCCCUUUCUCAACAGUAGGUGCGAGGUGAUUGAACAUGGCAACAUGCUUUCAGCAGGGGAAGUAGAGUGAGAUAGGAUGCGGUUAAAAAUCCGUUGCGGAUAAUGCGCUAAAUGUCAAUGGUAAAUAUCAGAAGGGUACUGUCAGUGGUAAAUAUCAAAAGGGUACUCUGAAAUGCAUAUGCAUCUGAUUGCCUGUAAUAUGUGAGCAGAGUUAGUACUUACUACUUAGUAGCACUGUGCCUGUACCUCAAAUGUGACCGAUGUUGCAUUAGAAAUAGCAUUAGAAGUUGAAAAAUCCAUGGAUCUAUAAACAACUACAGAGUGAAUUCUACUUUCAUUCUGUUGUCGAGUCAUAUUUUUAACCAGCGGAGUGGAGUGGAGUGUAUCGAGAACUAGUAGUAGCCCUCAUUGACAUUCAUACUGCUUUGACAUACACAUAGUCGCUGGGGGGGGGGGGGGGGGGAGUAUAUUGGUGUGUUUUUUCAAAGCAGCGUGGACUGCUGACAAGUAUUUCGGCCGAGGAAGACGGUUUAACUACUACAAUCAAACUAGACUGUAUGUUUGGUAUAUAGAAAUGUCAGAGUCAAACAUAGAAUUGUUCAUGGAGGACAUGAGUGUAAAUGAAUUCAAAGGAAGGAGAUGUAGUGUAUUGUGAAUAGCAUAUAAUGACAGGUGCAGGAUGUGUGGUGGGGGAUAGGUAGUCCCCCAAAAGGAAUGUUUGGAGAGAGAAAGAGAUUCUCUCUAAUAGGUUUUUUUUUUUUGGAGUGGGGCUGUUUCAGUCUAUCAGACCUGCUGCUGUGCUGCUGCUGCUGCUGCUACUGCAAAGAAGGGUGGGGUGAGGGAGUGAGGCCAUGAGAGGGGAAAGAGAGAAUCUCUUCUGAAGCAAUGAAAGCGAAUGGAGGGAUGUGUUGUCAGUCUGCUAACUGCUAAGAGAAGUCAGUCAGUAGUCUAAAAAGUCCAUAUUCCAAUCGAAUUUUUAUUCCAAAACACAGUCACUAUAUCACACUAGUACUACACCACUACCUCCAAGGCUCCAAUGACCAUCACCAUAUAUUUCUUUGGUAUUAUUAUUAUUGUUAUUGUUGUACACAUGCAUUACAACAACAGAGACACUCAAGAGAACAGAGAACCUAAUCUCAUCCAAAUCAAAAAGCAGGUUUGCUUUCUCAUUUGUUGUUUCUCAACAAAGUUCAUCUCGUGAACCUCUCUUAUGACUCCCCCAAUACAUUCGGCUUUGUUGUCCUCUUAAAAAGCUGAUUCUUUUUUGUCCUUCAAUAUUCUUUCCAUGCUAGCUACUUCAUGCAAAGUUUUAACAAAGAUCCAAUUACAAUAGGGUAACCAAUCUUACCAAAACACAGUACUUUUGGUGAAAUAUCUACCAACUAGUAUUGGUGAAAAAAAAAAAUAUUGAUGACAUUUGCAUACACAAUAAUUGAUUAAAAAAAAAAAAAGGGAGAGGUGGAUAGACUUAAGUCCAUAACCCUACACUCCCACCUCAAGUUCAAAUUGUAUGCACUUUUAUUCUUUUCCAGUAAAAAGUUGAUUGGAUUUCUUCCCACUAGUCUAACUAUCUAUGUGAUCAAAACAAUUUGUAUCAUUCACAAUAGGUCCUAUUGCUCUUCACAACUUUUAGCGUUGUCUCCCUUUGACCAUGAUGCUUAUAAUUUUGAGAUGAUAAAGUGUAUACAUGGUACUAGCCUUCUUUAUAUAGUUCAUCAUACAUGCUUACUAGGCCCUUCUCGGUUGACAUUUCAUUUGUAAAAUGCAAAAACAAAAUAAGUUUAUGUUAUAUUUAUUAGAUUAGGAGCUACAUCUUAUCUUAAAAAUCACCACCAUUUGAUUUAUAUAAGUCAAUCAAAGAUUAGGUUUGACCUUAAAAAACAACUACAAUAUCUAGUUGACUUUUUUUUUUGCCAUCACAAUCAACCAAAUUCAAUACCAAAACAUCAAAAGAAAUAUCUAUAGAAACAUGUAUGUUGGAAGUGGAAUUAGGUAAAAUGAGUUGUUUGGAGUAAUUCACCAAAUCCCAUUGACCAGAAUAUGCUUUUGUAUGAUAACUACAAAGGCAAGAAGAUGUUCAUGCUCAAUAUUCUAGUCUUCUUUGUAAUAAUAAUCUUUCAUUUCCUAAAAUCAAACCUUACUCAUUUCCUAGCAUUUAACAGAUUCUUUCUGUCAUAUAUCGAUGUGCAUACAUUUUUGUCAUACAGAGGUAAACAAGUAAUUUCACAAUUAUUAAAUAACCAAACACAAUAAAGAUGUUUCUAAAUUUGAUACUAUUACAAUUAUAAGUGAACAAAAUUCGAAAUUUGAUAAAUAAGAGUUGACUAUUAAAAUACAUCUUGUAAGUUACAUGAAUGCCCCUCUAUACUUUUUGUCUUUGAAAUAAUUUUCCAACGCGUAAAAUGACUAACACUAAAAAUAAUUCCAAUUCGAUAUAACACUUCUCAAAAUAUUUGAUUCAUUAUUGUUAUUGUAUCGUAUACGUAACGUAUCCGAUUUUGCAUAAACCGGUACAACAUUUAGAAUUUAGAUAUUACCGGGUUACCGCUCUAGUUAUUGGCAUUUUCUUGAUCUGGGAGGGUUAAACUAGUCAUUGAAGCUUGUAAAGCAGCUUAAUUGGCUCAAAGUUGAGCUGUGAAGUUGGUAGUUGAGUUAACUCGGAAAAGUGAAAAACCACCGAUUUAUGGUAAAAGACUUAUUCUUCUUUCAAAAACAAAAGAUCAGAAACUGUUAAAAAUAGCUUUGGGAAACCCGUUUUUGUCGUUCAUUCUUGCUAAUAUUCUCUUUUCUGAAUUUCUUCAAAUAUUAUUUUAAAUCUCUAUUUUACCCUCCUUGAUUUCUUAAAUUCUCUUGGAAACCAUAAUAUUUUCAGCUUUUCUUUAACCCCAGAACAACUGUUUUGAAUAAAUUAUUCGCUUUGUUCUUUAAAAGCGAAACACAAACACCCCUUCUUUCUCCUCUUCUCUCUCUUGUUACUUCAAUGGAAGCUUCAAACAUGGCGUCUAUUACUGCUUUAGAACAAUCUUUCCAAAACUGUUCACUUAACAGAUCUAAUGGUUCAGGUUUAAGAACAUCAGAAGAUGCUGUUCAUGAAGAAGAAGAAGAAGAUACAUCUUUAGAACUUAAUUCACAUCUCUCUCUUCCUUAUCAAUGGGAACAAUGUCUUGAUUUAAAGGUUCCAUUUCUUUCUUUCCUUAAAAACCAUUUUUCAUUUCUUCAUUUAAUGCAAAACUUUAUUACUUUACAUUUCAUUACCCUUUUUGUAAUUUUUAUCCUCUGUUUCAUCAUGAGUACUCUUUAAAGCAAAAAGUUCUUGUUUUUUCUCUAGUAUUUAUUACUCUUGCAUGAAACAAAGUAAAGGGAUUUUGUUCCUAUAGGUUUUAAAGAUUUGGAACAUGUUUAUGUUGUUAUUAAGUUAAUUUUAUUAUUUUAUGAUUUUGCAUAAAAUGCAGACAGGGGAGAUUUAUUAUAUAAACUGGGAAAAUGGAAUGAAGAGGAAAGAUGACCCAAGGAAGAUAACAAGUAGCAGGGAAAGUUGUUAUUAUUCUGAAGAAGACAAUACUAAUAAUAACUCAUAUGAUAGUGAUGAUGGUUCAUCUUCUGCUUCAUCUCCAUCUCCAUUAAAUGGUGGUCAAGAAGAAGAACAAGAACAUUACAACAACACUAACCAAGAAGGAGGAGAAGGGGUAGAUCAUAUUCUUGUUGUUGCAGGUUGCAAGACUUGUAUGAUGUAUUUCAUGUUGCCUAAACGGGUUGAAGAAUGCCCAAAAUGUAAUGGAUUUCUUCUCCAUUUCGAUCGGUUAGAACAUGAUGAUGGUUCAUUGUGAUUUUUUUUUUUUUUAUUUUGAAUUUUUUUGUUCAUGUGAGACUUAAGAGAGAGAGAGAGAGAUUCUUAUUGUAAAUUUUUGAUGUAGUGAAGAUAAAUAUUUUCUACUAAUUUAGUUUUAUUUUAUUUAUUUCUAAUUUCCAUUAGAACACUAGCAAGCAACCAAGCUUGGUCAAAGAAUAAAACUGCAAAUGAUUGAGACGUGUCUGAGUAAUGUAAGAUUCUAAAUUAAAUUUUUUUUUUUUCAGGAAUAAUUAAAACUAAACAGUUGGCUUUUGUUAAUGUUUAUAGAAAGUGUAGAAUUAAAUGUGAUUGAUAAUAAUCAUUUUAAUUGAUUCGACUUACUAUUUUGUUAUAAAAAUUAAAGUUUAAUUGGUCGUGGAACUGUGAUCCUAUAAAUUAGUUGGUUAACUAAUCAUUCUUCAGAGUUCAGACUGACUUAUUCUUCAUUUAAAAUGUUGGGAUAAUUUUUGUUGUUUGUGUUCAUGGUUGCAAAGGACGAUGAGUGAGGGCAUGAGGCCAUGCCAGUUUGAGUUUGAAUGUGACUACUGACUACACUAAUAAGAAGCCCUAAAAUAAUUUUGACUCAAAUUCAAGUACAAUUGCUCAACUCAAAUAGUGAAAUAUACAAACGGGUCUAAGUCAUUGCCCAUUAGUAUGAUCUACCAUCCUCAACCCUUCUUCAUUCUAUUUUUGCACCAACUUCUCAUAUAUUUUUUCCACAAGUUAGACCAGCCUUUGUUUAACUACCCUGCGGGCAGAUAUAAUCAAUGGUGACCAAAUACUAAGCCAAGCCUAAAACAGAUUUGAGAGCUACAAAUACUAAGCUCGAUUGGUCGACUUGUUUGGUUUGAUUACCAUGUUGGAGAGGGUUAGAUUGGGUUGGGAGACAAAAAUGUCACCAUUAGACUUAGGAGGGGAGUUUAGAGCACAAAAUAUGAAGGGCUAUUGGGCUAUUGUGCUACAAUUACAAUACCCCUCAAGCUCAUGUUAUGUAAGGGUUCAAAGCAUGGUUCAAAAUGCCGACAAGAUUCGCGAAAUUUCGGCGGCACAUGCCGGUUUUUAGGCAUUCGGAACGGUACGACAAGUCGAAUCUGGUUUGAUCCAGAACCCUACCCAUGCCAACCCGAAUUUUUGAAUUAAUCACAGAUAUUUAAACUGUUGCCGGAAUUAACGGAUAUCCUCUCCUUUUGUUUUUCGACAGUAAUGGUGGAGAACAAAUUUUAAGUAUUUCGUUCACCAAUUUCACUGGAAUCUCUCUCUCUCUCUCUCUCUCUCUCUCUCUCUCUCUCCUCGCCGGAAUAUCUAUUUCUUCCGCCGGAAACUAUACUGUCGGAAUUACUGUAAGUUCUUAAGUUCUUGAUUAUAGUGUUGCUGAAUGAUGAUUUCAAAUUGAUGAUUUUCAAUUUCAUUACUGUCGGAAUCUAUACUGUCGGAAUUGUUGCUGCCGGAAUUUUUAAGUUAGUAAUUUGGUAUUUAUUUGAUCUUAAAUAAAAAAUAAGUUUAAACAAUAAAAUUUUAUUUUUAUUUUUUAUAAAAAAAAAUAUUUGUAAUUAUAUAUGAAAAGAAACCUUAUCAUAAUUUUAAAACAUAAAUGAAAUCAGUAAUUCGAUGUCUAAAAAAAAGGGUAUUUUUAUAAUAAAUAUAUUUUUAGUAAUUUUGUACAAUUGGGCCGGCCUGGUAAACCAUUGUAUUUUACUGGAUAUGUGGGCCAAAAUAUCAAAUUGAAAAACUGGGCCAGAUGUAUAGGCUAAAUAUUGAUCCAAAUGGUUUUGGGCCAGGUUGUGGAUUGGGUUAUUAAGUUUGGAUGGUAUUAGUUUAUAGCAUGGGACACGUGGCACAAAGUUUCAAUCUGGAGGAAAAGUGAUAAUAAACAAUUAUAAAAUAUUGUAGACUUUAGGUGGUGCUUUUAUAGAUAGUUUAGAUUUGUUAUAUGAUUUAAAUUUCAUUACUGCCGAAAUUAAUCUAUACUUAGUGUGUUGGUUUGUUUUGGCCAUUUGUGUGUUGGUUUGUUUUGUCUUGAUGAUUUUUGUGUGAAACCCGUAUUUGCAAAUUGUUGUACUUCUUAACAACACUAUUAAUAAAAUUUGUUUUCUUAAGUUUAAUGUUGUCUUACAUUUAUACGUAUAAAUUUUUACAUUGGUAGGAGCCUAGGACAAUAGCUAAGAGGGACAUUGGGUGGGAGUACGGGUUUGUUGAGCCAGGUGAUGAGACUGAAAUAGUUUGUGGUUUUUGUGAGAAGAAAAUGCGAGGUGGAGGGGUGACACGGUUUAAGGAACACCUAGUUGGAGUUGGGAAUGAUGUUACAAGCUGCAUAAAGGUACUUCCCGAUGUCAGAUUACGUAUACAAGGUAAUUUACAGGAACUUGCUGCACGACUAGUUGCUUUUGGGCACACAGGACGAGGAAGACCACGUCGACGAGUUGAGGAGGUGGGACGAGAGGAGCAGGAGCUGGGACGACGAGAGCCCGUGACUAGUGGUGCUUCUUCACACCAGACCGAGGCUUAGGACGAGGAUGACGAGACUAGAGCGUAACGAGACUUGGAGGAAGCAUUGAGGCGUUCGACACAUGACCUGAUUACUUAGAGCAGCGUGACUUGGAGAUGGCUAUUGAAGCAUCACGGAGGGAGCAUCCUUCUUCAUCUACUAAGGGAACAUCAUCUAGUCGAGCGGAGCGAGACUUCACUGAUUUUGAUAGUGAUCUAGGGUUUUAGUUUGUUUGUUUUAUCUUAGUAGGAUUGUACAUUUUAUUAAUCUUAGUAAGAAUUUAAGUUAAUUAUGUGCGUGUUAUGUAAGUUAAACAUUUUAUUUAUGUUAAUUAUGUUAGUUUUUAUGUUAAUUAAAUAUUCUCGGAUAUUCUCGAAAUUCUGACAAAUACCACGAAAUAUCGGAUUUUAAAACCUCACCAUUCUUUAGCAUGAUAUUGAGGCAUAUGCCGAUUUUCUAGACCUCGAAAUAUCGGCCGGAUUCGGCAUCUUGAAGUAUGGUUCAAAGUACAUCUUUGAAGUAUUUAUGCUCACUAAUGUAGCCAUAAUCUAAAGGCCAAAAUGAGGUGUUUAGAAAAAAAAGAAAAAUGAAGAAGGAAUGUUUGUCUUUGAAAUUCCUAAAUAUCAUGCUAAAGAAAUGGUUAUUGACUAAACAUGAACUAUUUAUUUUUCUCCACCCAUUUCCAGUCAUUUGACCUGUAAACCUUUCCCUCCCUAAUAAAUACUCAAUUAUCUUGGCGGCAAUACUUUCCAGUGCAAUGUGUAGCUUUAUGGCGGGAACCCCUAAUUUCCAUAACUUUCAAAUUUUCUUCAUUAAUCUCAACUCAAAGUCUUUCUCUUCCCUUCCUUCCAUUCCUCUCAAUAACAUAAACAAUUUCAUCAAAUCAUACUGCAAAACAGAAAAGAUUGAAGAAGCAAUCAAUACCUAUCCUUCAUUGCUCACUCGAGGAAUCUAAGUUAAACCCUCUAUUAUCUCUUGCUACUUCAUUUUAUUUCCUUUAAUCAAAUCAUAGCGUUUCAAAAACAACCCUUUGUUUAUAUAACCAGAUUAUAAAAUCUGGAAUUUCUCCUGAUUUGAUUACUUUGACUAUUAUUCUUAUUUGGUAUUGCGAAACUUGUUGAAGUUGUUUUGCUUGGAAAGUGUUUGAUGAAAUUCGUAUGAGAAAUUGAAACCUAAUUUUGUUACUUAUAAUGCAUUGAUUAAAGGGAUUAGAACCUAAUGUUUCUACGUAUAGUACAGUUCUUGCUGGUUUUUGUAAGCAAAGUAGGAUUAAGGGAGGAGCGUGGAUUUUAAUAAGAUGGGCCAAAUGUAGUGACUUUUACAGCACUCUUGUUCAUGGGUUUUGUAGGGGACGGCUCGUUGGGUGAAGCUAAAAGGAGAUGGUUUCUCUCGAAACAUUAUUACUUAUACUGCUUUGAUUGAUGCCUUGCGUGUUGAAGCUCAUAAGGUCAUUGGGAAGAUUCCUUUGGAGAUAUUUCAAAAAUGUUGAAUUGUGGGAAUGUAGUUACAUUUACAACAAUUAUUCGUGGCCUUUGUAAAAAGGGCCGUUUACAGGAAGCGUGAAAUUUUUAAUACUCAUGUAGUGAUGUGAUGCAACGAGUCUGCCAACAAAAAAGAUGAUGCAACGAGGUGUAGAGCCUAAUUAUAAAUUUACAUGUACUGCAAUUGAUGGUCUUUGUAAAGAAGGGAGACUUGAGGAUGCUUUUAAGUUGUUUCAUCUCAUGGAAGAGAAGGGGCUUGAAACUGAUAUACUUACAUACAAUUGUGUACACGUCAUAAAGAGAAUAACCAAGCCCGAUUGUGCACAUUUAACAUUUUGUGGAUGGAUAUGUAAAACUGGGGGAUUUUAGGUUGCUCUAGCGCUGAAGUGCAGGGGAUCCAACACAAUUCACUGUUUCCAGCCUUAUUUGAAGCGGGUUAUCUGGAGUCAGACAUGGUCCAGGAAAUGACUUGAGGAGAAGGUCUUGAUGCAAUCACCUAUUGUAAGUCAGAAAUAGGGUCAAAGUUGACAUCGUGUGUUUUCAUGCCUGGUUAGAAAAGGCUGGACCCAAUUUGUGGACCUAAAUUAAUUGAAGAUGCAAUUAAGCACUCCAGACGCUGUUGCAAAGAAUGUUGCUCUUUGUACGAUCUCAGUUGUCCGUUUUUUUGAGAAUGAUGCUAGGAUUGAACUGCUUGAGAAGUUCUCUAUUUUUCUUCCAAAAUAAUAUUGGGGAAUAUGAGAAAAUGGGACAGUAUUAUCAGACUAAAUGAUGAAUGUCUGAACGAAGAACCUACUGGCUUGGAACUUGCUUUCUAUUGCUUGCCAGGUAUGUACCAUAUAUAACUGUUCUGUUCGCGUUAUCUCACAUUGCUGGUUCUUUUAAAUUUCUAGGUCAGGUUUCUAGUUUUAUUCUGUAAGACUGUAACCUUGUGUUUUAUGCUGAACGUAUUAGUGAAUAUUAAUAUGAGGAAGGGGAGGAAGGGAGGAGAGGAGGAGAAGAAGAGAGACAGAAAAGAGAAGAAUUAGAGCUUUCCACCCUAUUGUUAAUUUCAGUGUUAAUCUAAAUAUUUAAGUUAAAUCUCACUACCAACACAGCUACAUACAUAUUUAUAGUAAAGUUAAUGCUAAUAUUACUGAAUGUGUCUUCUAUGUUAUUGAUGUUAGCGAACUGUAAAUAAAUUUAUUUUUGUUUAUUAAGAAUUCCUUACUUAACUGUUGGUUCAAUAAAGUGUUGCUUUCGAAUAUUAUAAAGGUGUCGCUGCUUUAUAAAAGAAUUUCUUUUGUCUUAUAUUCUCUGUGAUUGUGUAACUCCAUCUCAUAAAUUAUUUAUAUUUGAACUUCCUUAGGAGUUGUGUUAGAAAGAGAAAUAUAGAGGCCAGAACCUUUUUGUAAACUUGUUAGUAGUUCAAUCUUAAGACGUUAUUAUCUUUUCCUAAUUUUGUUAGUUAUUCAAUCUUCAGAUACUUAUAUUCUUUCUUUUACGAAAUAAUGAAAGGAAUGGAAGGUGAAUGAGCCUUUAGCCAUGAUCAUGUCACCGACCUGUAAAAUGCAUGCAACCAACCUUAUUCACCAACUUGCAUGGAAUGGUAUUGAGGAAGCUCAAUCCGCCUACAGAAUUUGAGACCAUUUCUGAUGAGAGUCCUCGUCCCACUGUCCAAGCCCUUGAAUUACCUGAGGUCCUCAUGAGUGCGAAGAAUUGGAAGUCACUAUCACAUAACCAAGUGUCCUCAGUCGCCGUGAAAAACUAUAUGGAUGUCUUCCUGAAACAUGGUAAGGAGCGGAAUAAAAUAAAAUUAGACAAGCUAGUGGGAUCGAUCUUUUCUACUAUUGUCUUUGAAGAGUGGAGAGACAAAGAUUGCUGCGGGUGCUGCUUUCCUUCCAAAUUAUUGCCUCUUUGAACAAGAAAGAUUGUGAUGAAGUUGCAGAGUUGCAAUCAUGAAGAAGGAUUGAAGAUCUGUCAAAGCUGGAGAAAUAAAUAAAUAAAUGCUUAGGAUAUAUGAUGCAUAUGGAAGUAUAAAUGGACACCAAUGGAUGUAUAGCCCCAGCGUUUGGGUUGGUAAUAUCCGAAAAUAGCAAAGAUCCAUGGAAAGGAAAUUGAUCACAUUUACUGAGUGCCCAGAACUUCAAAUGACCGGAGAGAAAAGUCUUAGUUUGUGGGAAGGAUGGAGUUGGGUAUGAACAUAGACUUCCAGAAUGUAAUUUCACUGCAUUCUUGAAGUUGCCAUUUAGGAAAUUAAGCGAAGAACAUUUGAUAUAGAGGCUUCUUGUAUUCAGCGGCAUGGAGUUUGAUCAAGCUUUAAGCAAUGAGUGGGAGAGAGAUUAUUUCUGGAGACUGAUAUGGAAACCUUGUCAUGUUUGACUGAAUCAGGUUUAAGGUUUUGUGUUUGGUGAUGGCAUGUUGAUAGUUAUCAGCUUCUUCUAUCUUGAACUAAUAGUUUGAGCUUUAAGUUUAAUUCGACUAGGUUAAGAAGAGUUCUGUUUAGCACAUAACAAAUUUCAAUUGAUUUUGUAAUGUGUUCCUGAGUAAAACAGAUACACUUAGUAAUGCAAUAUAUAUAACACUUGUGUUUUUUAUUUUGCUUAUCACUAUCUUCUUUGAUACUCAAAUAUGGCAUUUGUUAACAUGAACAAAUCUGGUUUAAGAAUUAACAUGAGGUUCUUUGAUACUAGUAUAAAAAAAACUGAUGCUCAGAAAGAGGAGUAAUUUAUAUUAAACCGUCAAGGAAGAUCAAUUAUUAGUUUGUUAGUAUUUAUUUUGGGAAGUUGAGUGUGAUUUUGCAAUGGCGAAACUGUUAUUGGAAUUUUUUUAUUUUUUAUUUUUGUUUUAUUUUUGGAAGUAGUGUAAUUUUGCAAUGGGGUGGUAGACUGGUAGAUGAAGUAUAUCAGUGGAGUAUUCAAUAAUACGUUACAGUUUCCAAAAAUAUUGGAGAGGAAAGGGGGCGGUAUGUUUUGGCCCCAAGUUAAAAUUUCUUCUUUGGUCGCAAGUAAAUUUGUAAUUCCAAUCUUAGUUAACAGAUUUACUUAGAGCCCAAGAACCCAAUCCUAUUUAUAUUCAUAGAUAGGAGGAGACCUUUACCAGUUCCAUCAAUUCAUCCUUCCACCAUCAUCAGUUCAUCACCAUGGCUUCAACCUCAAGCUCAAGCUCAAGCUCUACCACUACACUAUCAUUGAUAGGGCUACCGGAGUUACACACAGUGACUGUUAUCCCGAAAAGAUCCACUAAACCACGGAAGGUGUUGACAGACAUCCAAAAAAAUUCCACUAAACCGCGGAAGGGUUUUACAAUGAAUCUCUCUCCCACUUUUUUGGCUACUGGAAACCCUUGUCUUGAUUUUUUCUUCCAUGUUGUUCCUGAUACCGAAUCGAAACGGGUGAAGAAACUGUUGUAUUCGGCAUGGAAGCAUAACUCUCUAACAACUCUCAAGCUCAUCUGCCAGUUAAGAGGUGUUAGAGGAACCGGUAAAUCUGACAAGGAAGGGUUCUAUGCAGCUGCAUUAUGGCUUCACAAGUACCAUCCUGAAACAUUAGCUCUUAAUGUGAGAUGGUUUGCAGAUUUUGGUUAUCUUAAAGAUUUGCCGGAGAUUCUCUACCGAAUUCUGGAAGGUCUGCAGGCUCGGAAAACAGCAAAGCUUAAAAGAGAACAGUUCGGUAUGUUGGCAGAGAGGUAAGAAGUCACAAAUUCCAGUUGGGAGGUUCGGUCUACAAAGGGGAAGAACAACACUGAUGAAUCCUACGAUGAAUAUCAAUAGUAGAAUAAGUAGAUUAUUAAGAACUGAAAGAAAAGAACCAAAAUACCGGGGUCCUCCACCACCCAAUAAACCCACAUUGCAGGACUGGAUUUUGGCAAAAAUCGAAGGCCUAAAUCGCGGAAAAGAGCAGAUUGGAGAAGAGGAAGAGCAGAUAGAGGUAGAAGAGAUCGAGGAAGAGGAAGAGCAGAUAGAGAUAGAAGAGAUCAAGGAAAAAGAACAGUAGGCAGAGAGAGAAGAGAUCAAGGAAGUGGAACAGCAGAUAGUGAUAGAACAGACAGAAGAAAAUGAACAGCAGAUAGAGAAAGAAGAGCAGCAACAAAUAGAGAUUGAACAAAAGGAGCAGACAGAGACGGAAAAGUGGGAGAGGAACGAGAAAAAGAAUAUUAAAUGCAGCCCAAGAAAGAAGAAGAAGAUCACUGUGGCGAAAAAAGUCAUGGAAAGGUACACUAAUGAUCGUCAUUAUAGGUUCUUACUCGAUCAAAUAUCUGAUCUCUUUGCAAAACUCUUGACAUCCGACCUGAAAUUUCUGAAAACCAAAAAAUACAAGAAGAUCAGUUUGGCUUCCAAGUGGUGUCCUUCUCUUGAUUCUUCAUAUGAUCGAGCAACUCUUAUAUGUGAAAGCAUUGCGAGGAAGGUUUUUCCACGUAGUUGUAGUCAAGAGUAUCAAGGAAUACAAGAAGCUCACUAUGCUUAUAGGGUCCAUGAUCGUCUAAGAAAACAAGUCCUUGUCCCACUGCGCAAAACCCUGCAACUUCCAGAGAUCUACAUGAGUUUAUAGAAGUGGAAUUCUCUUCCUUAUAGACGAGUAUCUUCAGUUGCGAUGAAAACCUACAAGUCACUCUUCCAAGAACAUGACAAAAUUCAAUUCCAUGAAUAUCUUGACCAAGUAAGGCAGGGAAAGGCGAAGAUUGCGGCUGGGGCAUUGCUUCCACAUGAGAUAUUAGAGUCAGUGAAUGACAUAGGACUUGAGGCAAUCCCUGAGCUGCAAUGGAAUAGAAUGGUUGAAGAUCUAUCAGCAAAGGGAAAACUAAAAAAUUGUCUUGCAGUCUGUGAUGUCUCUGGAAGAAUGCAUGGGUUGCCAAUGAAGGUCUGUGUUGCACUUGGGCUACUGGUUUCAGAACUGAGUGAAACCCCAUGGAAGGGUAAGUUAGUCACAUUCAGUGCAAAUCCCACACUUCAAACGAUAAAAGGAAACACACUAAGAGAAAAACAGAGGUUUGUUGAACACAUGCAUUGGGGCAUAAACACAGAUUUCCUGAAGGUUUUCGAUUUGAUCCUUGAAGUUGCUGUUAAGGGGAAGUUAAGCAAAUCGAAGAUGAUAAAUAGGGUAUUAGUGUUCAGCGAUAUUGUUCUCGACUCUAAAAUUCUAGUGUAACAGUCAGAUCCCAGCACUGUGAGCUUCAACAUCUUCAACAGUAUACUUUGUGGCAAUUAAAACUGUUUUUAAGCAAUACCGACUAAUAUACCAUGCAGCAGAACGUCUAUGUUUAGGUAUUCUGCAUUUUAGACUACAAGGUAUCAUCCAACAAAUCUAAACAACUUGUGAACAAGCAUUAAAUCUAAACAACACAGUUAAGAAGAAAUUUGAACAGAACAUCUGAUUGCUUUUAAGAAAAAUCUUAAUCUGAAAUUAUGCAUUGGUCAUUGUUACUGAGCAAAGGGAACAUACAUCAGAGCAACAAGUAAAUAGAAUUAUAGAAUGACAUACUCUGCUCUUUUAAGCUAACGGGCAUUCAAAACCAAAAGAAAACUUAUCAUUAAAAUAGACCAAUUAACAAAAGAAUGAGAAUCAUAAUACAAAAAGUGGACAGGUGAGUUCACAUUGAUGUGGCAUGCAAGUGCAAGGAAUUAAGUCUGGCACUCUGGCACCUGAAAGAAUGUGAACCAGAGUCCACGUCCCUGAGAGAAUCCUUUUGCAUAGUAAUUGAUAUAGAUGGUCAGAAUUUCAUGAGCUAGAAUCUCACAAUUCAGCAGUCAGGACUCAGAAGAUACACAUUUCUACUGAAAAACUUGUAUACUGCAUUUCAUCUUGUAUAAUCAACAACAGAACUUUCAUUGAACUCAAGAGUUAAUUAAAGACAGAAAGCUGACAUAUUUUCCAUUAGCAAAAAAAGGAGUGGACUGAAACCCAACACGAAAAAGAAGAAAUGAUGGCAAUAGGAUCACAUUUACCCAAGUCUUCUCUGCAAGCCAAUAUCUAACCAGAGUAAAAAUUACAGCAAUAACAUAAUUUCUAUCCCCUCCUUUUCCCUUGCAUCACUCUUCAUCAAGUAUUUAAGUGUGACAUUAAACAUGUGCUAACAUGACUUGAGGACCAAAAGCAUUUGAUACCAAACCUUGGAAUGAUGACAUAGCUAUCUAUAACUGUAGAAGCAUCUCUACAAAACUGAAUAAAACAACAAUAUGAUUCAUAAUUGACAAACUUAGUAAAUUAAUCUUGAGCAUAGUUUUGAUCUACAUACAUCUAAUUCUAGAAACUAAGGAAUUCAUAGACAAAACAAGAGACGCUAUACCAAAAGCCAAGCGAACCUAUAAAUUCCAGACGAAGUCAGGUGCAUCUUUUCUUGGCCCAUCUAAAGUUCGAUACAAAUACAUCUUCUCAACCUUCUGGCUAUCAUCAAUAUAUUCCUCCAUUUUAUCAUUUAUAAUUUCCAAAUUAAGCCUUGGCAUCUUCUUCGCAAGUGUUUUGCAUCCUCCAAGAGUAACAUCACAGGACGACAUCCAAAGGGAUCGCAUUGUUUCAUACUUCCCCACGUCCUCCAAAAGUGCACCAUUACCAAAUGGACUAUCCCGGAUCUCCAGUUUCCGCAGGUUCUUGCAUCCAUUUAACACAUAUUGCAUUCCCUUAUCACUCUCUCCAGCAAAUGCAAUUGAAAGCAUCUCAAGCUGCUCAGCAUACAUUCCAAUGUAAAGGAAAACCCGGUCGGUUAAAUGGCCAGAGAGUGACAAUCGCUUUAGGGAUUUGCAAGAUUGGACAAUCGCUCCAAAGCCUUCAUCUAAAGGCUGUAGUGUAGCAGGGUCAGGUUUCCUAGGGUCAAGAAUGCAUAAUCUGAAACGAGUGAAAUUGGGGCAGCUCUUUGCAACAGCUAUGAGAGCAGCAUUUGUCAUUUGGUGGCAGAAGUACAAUACCGAAUGUAGCUUUGGGCAUCCCAAAGAUACAGCAACCAAGCCUUCUUCAGUUACAGAUGCAUGCUCAGCACCAUACACAGAUGGGAACACCCUCAACUCGAGUAAUUCUUUACAAGUUGAAGCUACAACUCCUAGCCCUUUGUCUCCAAUAGAAUCCACAACCUGUAAAUAUUAUGGAAAUAUUAGUUAUCAACAUUGAAUCAAGGAAAAUAAAGACAUACUAAAAAAUGUGGUAGUUAAGAAAACAGACCCAAAGGCGUUGAAGUUUGGGGCACUUGAGAAUGAGCAUGAUGAGAUCACUACCCGGAAUUCCUGGUGCAUAACUUAGGUUCAAUGAAGUAAGGUUCUUGCAAACGGGGUAAAAAGGUGAUAAGAAAUAAAGGGAGACCUCAAAACACCCUGACAAGCUCCUGACUGAUUUGCACUGUCGCACAACUUCUCUUAAAUGGUUGUACAAAAUCGGAUCCCGAUGAUGGACUAAUGAACCAAUGCCCAAGUCCAUCAACUGAGGUGCACGUAUAAGGAUCUUGUGCAAUGUUUGAAGAGGCACUGCUCGGUUCAGCUUCAGACUUUUGAGGUUUGGACAUCUUGCCACAAGCUUCUCAAGGGAAGCCAAAUUCACUUCCCCUUUGAGGCACGCAAAAUCGAGAGAAACAAGAGAUGUGUAGUUCUCUGGGAAACAACUAAGCCAAUGACCCCUGCCAUCCUCAACAUCAUUUUCAUACAAUACCAGCUCUCUCAGAACCCUAAAUACAAUAAAAACAAACCAAAUGAUUACUUACUACAUACAUAAUCUUCUUCCUUUUUAAUAAAUACCAAAUCAUGAUUACACAAGAAAACCUGACUACAUAGUAUGCUCAACAGACUAUGUAAUUACUAAUUAGCAUAUUCAAAUAUUACAAUUUCUACUUCAAAACAGAAAAAACAUCAACAAAAUUAUAACACUACUAGAAUUCUAAGCAAAUAUUCAGCUACUUUGAAACUAGAAUUUGCAAUUAACAAUUACACAUAAAUUGAAAUAAAAUAAAAUAAAAAGACUAUAAUUAAUUACCUGCAAUUAGCAGCAAUAGCAGCUAAUCCAUCAGUAGUGAAACCCUCACAAGUCACCAAAACCAAAGAUUUGAAAUUUGCAAAAGAUCGCGAAAGCAAUUCAAGACUUUCAUCAGUAACCACCAUUCUUUUCAAUCUAAGUUCUUCAAGACCUGGAUAACUUAUAGCCAUAGCUUCAAUCCAUGGAAGAAGAAAACCUCCCCAAUCAUGAGGAAUUAAAUUAAAAUCAGCAAAAUGUGGUUUUCCUUUUAAAGUAAGUGCUUUUACUCUUGGAAAUCUUGAAAUUAAUCUUUCAGGUGUAAUUGCAUAACAAUUCCCAAUAAAAACUCUUUUUCUACUUCCUUUCUCAACAAUAAACCAUGAUUUACAUACUAAAGAUAUAGAAUUUCUAUCUUGGUUUGUUGUUAUGAAAUCAAAUAUGUAUUCUAACACUUCUUCUGGAAAAUAAGUCAUCUUUUAAUGUUCAAAAAAAUUCUAAAUUUUCCAUAAAAAUUAUAACUUUAUAGAUCUAUUCUACAUAAUGAAUUCAAAUCUAAGAUCUAAAAAUGAAAAUUUAAACAAAAAUCAUUAAAAAAUAACCCAAAUUUUUCAUAAAAAUUGAAACUUUUUUCUUCAAUUCAUCUCUCUUUUCUUACAAAGAAGAGAGAGAAACAGAGAGAGAGAUUGUGCGUUAAAGCUGAAGAGAGAGAGAGAGAAACUUAACUUUAACUGAAACAGACAGAACACUUUAGUAAUAACUUAACCUUGGUCAAGUUUAUUACGCUUUUGUAAUGUAGUUUAAGAGAAUCUUGACCAUUGAUUUGCAUUAAAGUUCGCAAAGACGUCGUUAUCAAGAAAAAAAAGACGUGUUUGGUUUGAAAAUUGAC